AUGUCUUUUAUGAUUAGACAGAUCUCGCAACACAGUUGAGACAAGGUCUCAUCUUUAACUCAUAAAGUAUCGGAAAAAUUAAUUGAAAUUCGCUGAAUCAACUUUGAAAUUGAGUUAGCAAAAAAAUAGGAACAAGCUCAGAUAGGCGUAUGUCGUUCAAAGGUUUCAGAAGACUGCACUGGACCCACCAGUGCUGCUGCUUUUCGUCACAGCUUGUUACACAUCGAUGCUCUCAGAAUAAUCUUUAUAUGAUCAGAUAGUCCUUGCUCUCUGGGCAGUGUGGUACUCGUAUUGGUAUUGCUAGCGACUGUGGCGGAGGCGUAGACGCGUAGUGAUACUGUGCCGCAUGACUGGCAGCACUCGCCAGCUUAGCUGCAUGGGCUCGCGCAGGAACCUCGGUUCUGUUUAUACCCAUUAUUGAGCCUUUUGUGGAGCGUUUCAUGGGCCAUGUUUUCAUGUGGUGGGCUAAAUUUAAGCAACAAGUCCACAAAGCAUCAGCUCUAUAUAUCCACCACUUAAAACAAUACUAAGAUCACACAACAAAUUAACUCCAGUCAUCUUCUUCCUCAAUCACAUCCAACGGUCUUUGUUUUGUGGAUCAUCCCUCAUCAUCAUUCAUCCAUCGCCAACGCAACAAUGCUCCAUGACCCCAAUCCCGCGAGCCCUGAACAACACCUUCAUGGAGUCGACGACGCCAAUGCGCGUUCAACGUCCUCGCCCCGCGACACGCACCUUCAUGGAGUCGACGACGCCAUUGCUGCUGAAGAUGGUGAUGCUGCACAUGUUGGGCGAGAUCCGCAGCUGCAUACUCCCCCUCCCCCGCCGAUGGGAGCUUCGAGUCCAGCGGCCUAGGGUUUCGAUGGCGGAGGCGGUGGCAUUAAGCAGAGACAUGGUAAUCACACCAGGUGAUACUAAUAGGUGAGAAAACAGAGAGGAGAGGAAAUAGCAAUGCUCCCCGCCGCGUGCGAGUGGUGCAAAUACGGGGCGACACCGAGGCUAUCGGUGAAUCCCUAGGGAAUUUUGGGGGCGAGAGAGUGGAGACUGAUUUCUCAGGCGGUUAGGCGAUGCCCGAUAAUGAGAUUAUCAAGCUAUGCUCUGCUCCCGCCUCGCUUGCUUCUUCCCCUUCCCUGCUCUCGCCCGCUCCCCCCUGUCUCCCGUGGUCCCGUUUCCCGUGUUUAUAUGUUUUUCUCUUUCUUAUUUCUUUUCUUUUAUUUCUAUAAUUCAACACAAUACAGUUCUAGAUUUGUAUUGAGUUAUAAAAUAAUUUAAAUAGGUUUACAGAAAUAUCAUUAAUAUUUAUAUCUCAAAUGCAUAUAAUAUGGAAACAUAUUUUUAUAAUCAGGCUAUGUUUGUUUCAGAUUAUAAUCUCUCUAGAUUAUAUAAUUCAGCGUAAAUAAUCCAGCAGGUAAACAAACAUCUAGAUUAUAGAUUCAGAUUAUAUAAUCUAAAGUCCAGAUUAUGAUAAUUUCAUAAUCUCCUCAAUAGUAGCUUAUUUGAGAUUAUUUUGGCAAAAGACCCACUACUCAUUAUUAUGUAAAUAGAAAUUACAAUAUAUAUCAUCCUUGUUUCCUCACCUCAAAUAAAGAAACAAGGAUACUGUUGUCUUUAUUAUUAAUCUACAUUUGUAUAAUCUAGACUACCAAACAACUACAUGUAGAUUAUAAUCCAGAUUAUAUAAUCUAUAAGCUAAAACAAACAGGCCCUUAAUAUCUUAAUUAAAUUACAGUAAAUAUAAACACGUUUUUUUUGUCAUUUUACUUUAAUUCAUACUUAGACCUUUUUAUAUCUUAAAAAACUUAUUCUCUUUUGAGGUUGCUGAGUAUCAAGAUGUUAGAGUAUCUUCAAUAAAAAGUAUACUUGAGUCCUAAAAAUUAAAAUAGGAUUUGAUUUGAAGUGCUUAGGGCUAGAAAACAUUUGCAGCUCCAACGGUUUAGUUCCAUAUCAUUUUUACGAAAUAUAUCUUGUUAUUUAGAAAAUAAAAGGUUAUGAAUAGUGUAUAAAAUAAGGAUAGGACUUUAGCAUAUGAGAUCCUAUAUGACAUGAGAGCUCGAGUUCUAUAGAUGAAUUUUUAUGAAUUAAGACCUCUGUUGGAGCAGAUUUUUUGUGUUAGAGUCCUAUAUUUCAAAAGACAACUUUGUUUAGUACUCCUAUUUAAGAUGCUCUUAGAUGUUUGUGAUAUCUAUAUGUAAAAAAUUGGUUGAUGUUUACAAGCACAUUCCCCAAAGUUCAUGUAAGUUUCAGGAAGUGUAUACAUUUUUAGUGGACACUUGUUUGGUAGCACAAUCAUGAGUUUUUGUUUCUUCUGUGUAGGUGCUUGGUUCGAACUACCAAAGCAGACAUCUUGAAGUAAUAGAUUCAAAGCUGGCAUUUGGAUAAGGCUCUUCAAUCUUACCAUGGAGUGCGAUAAACUACUGAAUAGAUUCUUAAUGUGUAUUCACUUCAUAUCUAUUAAAAUUAUUGUCUUUUAGAUUUGUCGUAGCAUUAGUACGGACACCUUACUAGUAAGGAUAUAAUCAGAAAAAAAUAUUAUUGCGGGUCUUCGUCUUCCGAAGGUCCUCAAAAACACGACUUAACAAUGUCUUUUGAGUGUGACAUGUGAACAUGCACCUUUGGACUCGGGUUAAAAGUAUGCAUGAUGUGAAGAGCAUGAUCGUGACGAAGGCUGGUGAUGCUCCGAAGCUACGAGCAAAGGAGCUUUGGCUAAAUGGCGGAAAAAGGAACCGACUUAAAGGGAAAAAGGCUAUUUGGUCCUCAUAUAGUUGUUUAUAAGCCAAUAGUAAAUAUGAAGGGCAUGAAUGUAAUUUCUGACAGGCUGCGUCCUGUGCCUAUAAAUAGAUGAACAGUACCCCCGUACUGUUCACGCUGACUUGUAUUCGCUUGUGCGUCACGCUUGUACUUUCACCUUCUAUCAAGCCGAAGGUACCUUUGUAAUUCAAUAUUGUUUCUAUCUUUCCAGGAUAAUAAGAUGGGAAUGAAUUAAUAAUGUUAUAUGAUUGUAUAUGCUGUCUCUAAUAUUUCAUAUGCUUCUUUUAUUAACAUAUACUACAAUGAUGAAGGUAUGUUCUUCAUGACCUUCGUUUGAAGAUCAUUAUAUCCUAAGGGAAAUAAUGCUUCGAAGGACGAAGGGGCAUUAACAUUUAAUGUUUUGUGUUGCCUUGUUCUUAAUUCAUAGCUUUUGAAAACAAGUCCCCAACAUUGGCGCCCACCUCCGAUGAACUCUUUCAACCACCUUCGGCAAGCACUGACCUUCGUCAUGCCGCCGAAGAAAGCUUCAGCGACAGGGGCUGCUGCACUGCAGCCACUGGACCUAAACCAGGAAACUCUUUCUCUCCGAGAAGCUCGAAGCCAGAAAGGAAGGCCACCAGUCCAACACUCCAAGAGGAGGAAUUGGACCAAGAGAUCAGGGACAUGGAAAUCAUCCAUCAGCAAGUACAAAGGAAGAAGGAGAAGAUGGCGCGGCUGGCUGAUCUUCAAAGGAAGAUCGACGAAGCUACUAAAGAAGUGUGUCAUCAUGUUCAAGAUGAAUAAGACCGAAGGCCCCAACACAGGGAGCUUCGUCAAGAAGGCUUAUUUAACGAAGAUGGAUGGUAUGAUGAUUUUAAUCAUGAUACCUUUACUUUUGAUGAUGCUUCUCCCUUGGCAGCAGAACUGCAGGCUACCCCAUGGCCCCCGUCAUACAAGCCACCUCAGCUUCCCAUGUAUGAUGGGCACUCAGACCCAAAGCAGUUUCUGAUGAGCUACGAAGCAACUAUAUCUUCGUAUGGGGGCAAUACUGCAGUCAUGGCGAAGUCCUUCGUCAUGGCAGUCCGGAAUGUAGCCCAAACAUGGUUUCUUCUUUUCGGCCAAGGACCAUCACAUCAUGGCAGAAGCUUAAGGACAUGCUGGUGACCAGUUUCCAAGGUUUUCAGACGAAGACAGUCACAGCUUAGGCCCUGUUCCAAUGCACGCAAGACCAUGAGUAAUACCUCUAGGCGUAUGUCCGAAGGUUCUUGCGAUUGAGGGCACAAGCGCCCACAGUGCCCAAUGAAAUUGUCAUUGAGGCCAUGAUUAAGGGCCUUCGGACAGGACCUACAACUCAGUACUUCGCUAGGAAGCCCCCACAAACUCUGGAGAAGCUGCUCCAGAAAAUGGAUGAGUACAUCCGGGCUGACAACGACUUCCGCCAAAGAAGGGAGGAAGCUUACAGAUUCUCGGAAAUGACCAGGGGCUUCGGAGGAAGAAUCCACCCGAGGCAUGUCAGGUCAAUCCAUAAUUCCAUUCAGAGUGAUGACAAAGGGAGUCAGCCUCAGAGGUCACAAUACACCUCACAAUCUUCGGGGCAACAAUAGAGCUCUUUCAGGCCACCAGCUCCAAGGGGCAGAGGCGCCAGGGGCUUCGGGGGAAGAUUUGGGGAUCAGCCUAGAAAGAUUUACUGCUUAUUUUGUGGUGAGGACAAGGGCCAUACUACAAGAAUGUGUCAAAUCACCAUUCAGAAGCAAAAGGAGAUAGCAGAAGCCGAAGCUCGGCAGAAUCAACCGAAGUAGGUCCUGCACACUGCUUCGUGCCAUUCUCCCUACAUACCAGAGUAUGUGGGCAAUUAUCCUGCAGCUUCUGUUGCUUCGGCUAGCCAUUCACAGGCUUCCUGGCCACAACUCCCACCCCCCCACCACUACAACCGACCUAUUCCCGAAGCCAGCAGCUAGAAGGGCACCAACACUCUCAACAGCAACGGGAAUUUAGGGAGGAAUCCGAAGCUCGUACAGUCAACAGUACUGUGCCGGAAUCAAAGUACAUUUAUUGAGAGAUAUCCUACCUCUGAAAAAUUUCUCACAUUCUAUGUCAUUUUUGUUUUUCAAUAAGGAACAAGUAAUGCAAAUUUAGUUUUAAUUCCUUGUAAUAGUUCCAUUUCUAUUAAAAUGAAAUAUAUCUUCUUCACAGAUUUACGAAGCUCAAAUAUUGCCGAAGCUCAAAAAUCGUUCCUAAGGGAGCGCAACGUAAGUUUUGACGAAGCUACAAAAAAGUCGUUCCUAAGGGAGCGCAGUGUAAGUUUUCUGCUUAAAAGUCGUUCCAAAGGGAAUGCAGAGCCAAAUACCGCUGAAAUAUAAGGCGAAGAAGUUCAAAAGACGUUCCUAAGGGAAUGCAGAACUUACACCGAAAAGUCAACGGUGGUACCGCCGAAAUAGAAGGCGAAGAAGUUCAAAAGACGUUCCUAAGGGGAUGCAGAACUUACACCGAAAAAUAAGCGGUUAAGCCGAAAAAUAAACGGCAAAGAGAUUCCGAUCGUUCCUAAGGGGACGCAGAGAUGGUGUGUUCCAGUGUGGGUGUGUGGGUGUGUAUCUUCGGCAUUAGCAUCAUCCUUCACAUCAUAUCAUCACAUCAUCUCACAUAGCAUCACAUCAUACAUUAUAUUGCAUCGAUGACACGAAUUGAAUACGAAGUCCAUCUUCGGAGACUGCUUAAAAAAAUGAAAAUGUGCUAAGGCACAAAGUAAGCUGAGAAAUACAACUUCAUCGGUUUUAUUGCAAAAGAAGGGAUCCUUUGUUUACGAAGCUAGGAUGUUUUUACGAAGCAUGGAUAUUUUCACGAAGCACGGAUCUUUUUCUUUACGAAGCAUGAAAAGAAGGGAAUGUGUUUUUUCACCAAAGGCUAAAAAACGGUAUGUAUAUAAAGUUUCAUGCAUCGCAAAGAACUGAAUUACAACUAAUUUACAUAUUAGAUUCAAAAAUAUGCACAUCGAAUAUUACAGUGUUGUUACAGCAAAGCUACAUUGAUAAUCUAAAAAUGUUUUUACAAUAAGUACUAAUCCUCUUUCAGGACCUUCUCCGCAACUUCAUUUAACAACUUGUUAACAACUUCGUCAAUAAUAGAUUGGGCCAUAUUGAUGAUCUCUAUUGAUUUCUUCGUUUCUGGGUCGGCCAGGGGGUCGAACGGUUCCAGUGGAGGAGAUAGUUCAGCUACAGUAGAAAAAAUUAAUCAGUUCGAAGUCACAAAAACAAAUGCCGAAGCUAGAUGCCGCGAAACAAUACCUAUGCGCCUCUCGCGCUCUGCGGCUUCUUCAACUUGCUUAGCUUGUACUCGGGUGUCAUGGAUGUCUUUUUCACUUUUCUUCAUAAUUUCGUGAGCCAUUUCUCGGCCACCAUUUAUCCAGAUGUCACUAUAAAAUUUUCCGCCCAUUAAACUUGCUUCAGCUGAGGGAUCUUUUGUAUCAUCCACGGAGAAGGCAGCUUCGGCCUGUGCCAGGGUAUUGACAUGGUCGCAACCCGCCUUCUCCAGGAUGGCUGAAAUUCCUCUUGCACCGGAGAACGCGCAAACAUCCCCGCGAUCACUUAGAAUUUCUUCAAAAGCUUCUGCCUCUCCGCUUAUCCACUCGAUAACACCUUCAGGGUCGCCUCGUAUGAAGUUAUCUUCGUUUGAAUAGGCGCCCACGUUGGUGAAGCUAGCCUUUAUCUUCUCCACGCAGCCCAAAGAUUUUUCAAAACAUCUUUCCUUGAAUGUGCAAAGUUCUUCAACUGUUUUCUCUAAAUAGUUUUUCCAAUAUUCGCUGGCCUCUCGGUUAGCUUCUGCGAGAGCGCAUUUUUCUUUGGCCUCUGCCAAUUGUUUCUGAAGGUCUUCGAUCUCAUUCUUUUGAAUCUCAGCUUGAGCCUUGGAACUAGCUUCAUCUUCUUUCACUUUGUUUACCAAUGAAAUCAAUGUUUUGUCUUUUUCAAGGCCUUCAUUCCUUAAUUCGAUCACCUCUGAAUGAAGGUUGUUCAGAGCCAUUGUAUACCCUUCAUCUUCAAUGUUUUUCUGUGCUCUAAGGGCAUUGCUAAGGAUUAAGCCCUGCAAGAGGAGGAGAAGAUUAAGUAUAAACAAAUGAAAUAUUUAGUUUUCAAAAUACAAAAUUGGCUUUUAUACCUUUAUGCUAUUAUACGCUAAACUGUCAGCCAGUUCAUCCUUUGAUAAUAUUGAAAGGCCAUCUUCCAGCUUCGGAAAUCCGAAGCUUCUACCUAUCUCCUGGCAGACGGAUAUCUCUUUAUUAUCCGGGAGACAGUACAAAAAAUCUUCAUCCCCACUGCCAUUGAACACUAAUGCCCCCUUCGGGUAUUUCAAUUUUUAGGCAUAAUGUUGAGCUUCUCGUUUUUCUUCCUGAGAAAGUCCCUUUCCCGAAGCAUGGCAGAUGAUGUAAUCAAUGCUCUCUUUUAAAGCUUCGGGAGCAGGAGUUGCAACAUUUUCAGACGAAAUUUGCUCUGUGGCCUUUUCUUCUGUUGCUUUUUCUUCAAUUCCGGUAGGCUUUAUCUCAGUGGGCUCUGAAGGCCCAACUUCGGUUUUAGUUUGAAUUAUUAUAGCUUUGACUUCUGACUGUUUCGUUUCAGCUUUGGGUUGCGCCUUGGAAGUUUCGGCAAUUUUUCUGGUAGGAGUAGGAUUCAAGGUUCUUGUUGUUUCUAGUACAACAUCUAGCACGUUCGCCAUCCUUCUCCUUUUAGGAGUUGCGGCGGAGCCUUUUUGCAUCUUCGACAUUGUUGCCUCUGUUGAAGGGCUUAAAACUUAUGGCGUUCUUGGCAUCUCUACAAUUUUUGGCCCUUCAGUUUUAUCUUUGUCAGCCUUCGGUUCAACUAGCUUAACCAAAGGAAUCUUCGGCAUUGUAGCCGACUCUUCAGUCCUCCGCACGGGAGAAAUGGUUUCCUUUGUCUUGGUAGAUGAGGAGGUCCCUUCGCCAAGUUCAGGUAUCACAGCCGGUUCGAUGUAGCAUGGCCGGUGAGUUAGGACCUUCAAUUUUUCCCUUUCGGCACAUGCUCGUCUAGGGUGGCGGAAGCAACAGCUUUCCUCUUUUUUCCCUAUCCUCGCAGCGAAUAGCGGUAGUCGGGGUAAACGAAGCCAAUGGCAUCAAAAACUCUGUUCAAUCUCUUCUUUCCCCGACUUUCGAAGGCUAUGGAUAAUGCAUUAUCUUUUGCCUUGGAAUAUGAUCCAAGCAGUUCAUCACUUGUAGCUUCAAUACAUUUCAGCCAAUCGUCGUUUUGUUCAUCGAACUUAUCCCCAUCUGAAUGUAUAUUUUAGCCGGACCAGAUCACCUUCGUUAGACUUGGUGAUGGUUUCCUUCGGGAUCUCCCAGCUUUCUGCAAGUGGCCAUACUCUGAAUGAUAUAUGCUCUUGAAUUAAAUAUUGUGUACCAAUAAAGGAGCAGACUGUACUGAAGGCCUUCUGACACGCUUCGGCGGCAUCAUCAAUUUCGACCUUCGGCUUUCGGAGGAUGAAGCGGGACCAGAUGGGGCGCAUAAUAACUUCCUUAAUAUCUUCCCUUGCUUUCAAAUCAUUUUUACAUAAAACCAUUCUUCCAUCCAAGCUCCGGGCCAUCUCUUCCGAAAUGUUGGUACUGGGUGGCUUGCGUUGGAACGAGCGAUAAACCCAUAACAACCAAAGUUGUUGUGGUAUUGUUCUUUACCCAUGGCCUUCGUCUCAUAAAGCAAUUCAUGCAUAUUGCAGAAGCACUUUGCGCUUGGUUCUAACCCCUGGCUCCUUACUGCCCACACAAAAAUCUCCAUCCUUAUUAUGGCUUCGGGGGUGAUCUGAUGGAGAAAUAUUUGGAACGUCUUCAGCACUUCAACUACGAACUUACUCAAAGGGAACCGAAGUCUAGCCUUGAAGAAGCUUCGGUAGAUCACAACUUCAUUUUCUUCAGGGGCAGGGACGUUGUUGUCUCCGCCAGCCCUCACAAUAGACAUAUCUCGAAAAUACCUCCCUCUCAUGUUCUCUAGAUGACGGUUGAUUUUCCGAAGAAUGAAUGACUUGGCCUCCAGGGCCGAUCCUCAGAAUCUUCGUCCCCACUUUCUAAAUCAUAGCUGUCACUGUCACGAGUACCUUCAGACAGGCCCUCCAGUAUCUCCUUAGUAAUCUUCUCUGUAUUUGUUUUUGCCAUUGACUCAAUAAAUCCAGCAAUAUAAAGAUUCACAGUCUUCUUCUCCUCAAAAAGCUUCUCCUCUUCAGUUAGCUUCGUCUCAGCAGCAACCUUCUUGUCUUGAGACAUUUCUUCUUCAGAAAUGACGAAAAUGCGUCUUUUUUACCGAAGCUCAGAGAGCUCGAAAAACCAGCAAGUGUUAGUGAGCAAAGAGCUAUGAAAUUGAGAAAAUAAAGCAAAUGACACAAGCAGCGUAUCAAAUGCAGCUGGCGUGAGUUCUUAUUUAUACGCUCAAGCACGCUCCAAAUUGGGGGGGGGGCGUCCGUCAUUGGCUGUUGCUAUUCUAGUAAAGGUAAGGUGUUUUUUCGGACCUUCGGCUUAAGGCCUUCGUCCAUGUCACAGUCUGAAUUAGUUAUCUCAAACAAAUUAAUACUGCGAGGGGCUACUGUUGGGGGCCUUCGUUUUCCGAAGGUCCUCAAAAACACGACUUAACAAUGUCUUUUAAGUGUGACAUGUGAACAGGCACCUUCGGACUCGGGUUAAAAGUAUGCACGAUGUGAAGAGCAUGAUCGUGACGAAGGCUGGUGAUGCUCCGAAGCUACGAGCAAAGGAGCUUCGACUAAAUGGCGGAAAAAAGAACCGACUUAAAGGGGAAAAAGCUAUUUAGUCCUCAUAUAGUUGUCUAUAAGCCAAUAGUAAAUAUGAAGGGCAUGAAUGUAAUUUCUGAUAGGCUGCGUCCUGUGCCUAUAAAUAGAUGAACAGUACUCACGUACUGUUCACGCUGACUUGUAUUCGCUUGUGUGUCACGCUUGUCUUUCACCUUCUAUCAAGCCGAAGGUACCUUUGUAAUUCAAUAUUGUUUCUGUCUUUCCAAGAUAAUAUGAUGGGAAUAAAUUAAUAAUGUUAUAUGAUUGUUUAUAUUGUCUCUAAUAUUUUAUAUGCUUUUUUUUUAUUAACAUAUACUGCGAUGAUGAAGUUAUGUUCUUCAUGACCUUCGUCUGAAGAUCAUUAUAUCACAAGGGAAAUAAUGCUUCGAAGGACGAAGAUGCAUUAACAUUUAAUGUUUUGUGUUGCUUUUUUUAAUUCAUAGCUUUUAAGAACAAGUCCCCAACAAAUAUAUCCACCACGCUUUUUUUCUAAUCAUAUCAACGAUGCCUGCCUUGGUACGGGAACUUGUUGGACGUCCGUUAAGUACAAACUGGACAAUUCGAAUUGCAAGUGCGGCUAAACAUGUGCCUCAAAUCAUGAUAAAACUACGAGAUUCGUACGUCAUUCGUGGAAGCGAGAAGCAAAAGCUAGAAUGUGCCCUUGUUCUUGAGCUUUACACGGGCGUAGGGAUGGGGCAUAAUGAACCAAACUAAGCUAAGGUAGUGUUUUGAUCCCGUAGUCCAUUGGAAUGGAUCGGUGAGAUUUUAAAGAGCUGGAUGGUUCAGCAUUUAAACAUAAAUUUUUUUAGAUUCACUCUAUCCUACAUGAAUUUAAUCCAAACAACAAUAGAUUAGGAGCGGAACGGCUCCGUCCUACGGAACCAAACACUGUCUAAAAGAACUUUAAAAAAUAUAGUUCCAGGUCGAGUUGGAUUCCAAACAGUGAGGAAUUAAAAUAAUCAAAUAAAAUCUUAUUCCUAGUAUUGUAAAAAUCAUUAAAUUAACUCGUUGAAAAUUAGUUAGGGAAAAAAGAACAAGCUCAGAGUAGCGAGUGUCAUCUAAGGUUGAGAAGAUCGCACCGGGCCCACCAGUGCACUACAGGAAACGCAUAAAUUUUCGUGGGCCGGAGAAUAUUUGCGUGGGCAGGCCCACGAAAAUACAGAAGUUAUUUUCGUCGGCCUCGUGACCGACGAAAAUAUGGCGUAUUUUCGUCGGCCUCAGUCCGACCGACGAAAAUAAGUCAAUGACCGACCACUAUUUUCGUCGGCCUCAGUGAGGCCGACGAAAAUAGAGGCCCUAAAUCGUCCAUCUCGGCCUCAGCCCGCACCUUCUCGCUCGUCUCAAUCCCGUCGCGCCGCCGCACUCGCGCCCGCCCGCCCUCGCCGCGCCCGCCGCACGCGCCCCGCCCGCACGUGCCCCGCCCGCACGCGCCCCGCCUCGCCGCGUCGCACGCGCCCCGGCCGCCCCACGCCGCGCCGCUGCCCGCACGCCUGCCGAGGAGCCCUGCCCGCACGCCUGCCGAGGCGCCCCGCCCGCCCUCGCUCCUCGCCGCGUCGGCCGCCCCUCCCGCACGCCUGCCGAGGCGCCCCGCCCGCCCCUCGCCGCGCCGCCGCCCGCACGCCCGCCGUCCGAGGCACCCCACCCGCCCCUCGCCGCGCCGUCGCCCCACCCGAGGCGCCCGUCGCGAAGGCCUCCCCGCCCGCCUCGCCGUCGCGCGCCUCGCCCCACCCGCAUUUUCGCCAUCAGGCAAGUAUAAUCGUCGAGGCCCUGAGGUCAUUAAUUUAUAUUAGUCAUCUUGUCGUAUUGUGAUUAGUUUAACUGUUGAUUGCUUUAAUUCAAAUUCAUAUUUGUCUCCGAGUUAUUUUUUAAUGUUUAGAGUUUAGUUUUAAUCGUUAACCGUAGCGAACCGUAUGCGUCACCCGUUCGGGAACGGCGCACGUCACAUUGGCUUGUGAGGUUCGCCGUUCUGGAACUGUCCACGUAUUUUGGACAGCCUGAGAGUGUAGGCCGAUGCUUAUGAUUUGUGACAUGUGCCUUACGAUUGACGGGGAAUUUCGGUUGUGUAACCCAGUUGUUCUCCAACACACCAUGUUCAGGCGUGUGCUUGGAGAGCGGCGGGGUUAUGCUGCCGAAAUUUUGCAGCAAUCGUAGGCUACACAUCACAAAUCACAAGCAUCGGCCUACACUCUUGGGUGGGUUUAGGGCCUUUACCUAAUAGGGAGUUCACCUAAGCCACGAACGAUCGUUGAUGUUAUUUGUCUUUUGUUUAAUUAGCCUUUGAAAUGGACGGUGAUCGGAGGGUGAUGUAUGAUGGGUGGAGAAAGGAUAGGGCACAUUCGAAUGAAUGGAUGGUUGUAACAAAGGCUUUUCUUGAGCAUGCUUUCAAAGAUGCAACUGGUCGUCUAGUGAAGUGUCCUUGCAAUCGCUGCGAGAACAAGUGGCCUCAGAAGAAGGAAGAAAUGGAGAAACACCUUUGCAAAAGUGGGUUUAUGCCGAACUACCUUGUAUGGUACUGGCAUGGAGAGUCUAUUAGACACGUUGACACAGAGGUGGAACUUGAUGACGAUCAUGAUAGGAUGGACGACAUGUUGCAUGAACUUGAUGACUCCAGCGUCACAGCCACUGUGGACCGGUGUUGGGUGGACGCAGGCACCUCCAGGCACUUGGACGACUCCACCACCCCAAGGAUCGCAGCCAGUCCCGGGAUGGGUGCCACCGGUCUCCCAGCCACCGGCGGGCUCUCAGCCAUUUCAAGCGUGGAUGGCACUGCCACCGACGGGGUGGGUGCCACCACCUCAGGGGUGGCCAGCACAACAGUACCCGUGGAUGCAUGCACAAUCUCCUCAUCACCAUGGAUCACAUGUGACGUUCCAUGUUUAGUUUUAUGCAAAUAGUGACCAAACAUAGCAAUGUAUAGGUAUAGGGAUAGCAAAACACAGCCUUAUUUGAAUGAUUGAUGAAUUGCAGGGUUCAGCGUCACAUGCUCAGGGAUCGGAGGGUGCUGUCAACGUCCAAGACUUCCUCGUCCAUGGUUCUGGAGGGAGUGGCCACCUUCCUGGUGGCGGAGGAGGGAGUGGCCAAAACUCCCACAGCCUGCAGGAGUGAGUAGUGAGUUUGAUUAUGGACUAUGUAUGGACUAUGUAUAGACUUUAUUAUGGAUGUGGUUAUGGUAUUGAAACUAUGUAUGGACUAUGGACUAUGUAUAUGGUAUUGCUUGUGAAUGUGGUUUGUGAAAUAUGUAUUGCUUGUGAAAUCUGUAUAUGUGAUAUUGUGGAUUAUGUGUAUUUUGCUGUGAAUUAAAAGGUGCAGAAAAAUCUGUUUUGGGGGGGGGUAUCAUGAAUUUUCGUUGGCCUGUUCGGAGGCCGACGAAAAUACAUGCAGGCCGCCAGCUAUUUUCGUGGGCCACCGGGGCCGACGAAAAUAAAGCUCCUAUUUUCAUCGGCCAUCGAGGCCGACGCAAAUACCAAGCCGAGCACCUAUUUUCGUCGGCCUUGGGGAAGCCGACGAAAAUAGGUCAUUUUCAUCGGUACCGACGAAAUAGUUGCCUAUUUUCGUCGAACAUAUUUUCGGCGGCUAUUUUCGUCGGCAUGCCGACGAAAAUAGACUGUUUUCGUCGGUUUACGCUUAUUUUCGUGGGUUUUUGGCCCACAAAAAUUUAGGCGUUUCCUGUAGUGGUGCUUAUACUUAUUCAUCACAGCUUGUUAUGCCCUUAUUAAUUAAUCUUGAUGACACAGUUUAUAUGCUCAGAUAGGGCUCGCUGUUUGGACAGUGUGGUACUAGUCUUGCUAGUGAAUGUGGCGGACUGAUAAUGUGUCCUAACACGCCAGAGCUUAUUGAAAUGACUUUGAAAUUUAGCUACAAAAAAAGAGAGAACAAGCUGAGAGUAGCGAGUGUCAUCCACAGAGUUCAGAAGAUCGCACCGGACCCACCAGUGCUUAUACUUAUUCAUCACAACUUGUUAUACCCUUGUUAAUUAAUCUUGAUGGCACGAUUUAUAUGCUCAGAUAGGCUUGUUGUCUGGAUGGUGUGGUACUAGUCUUGCUAGUGAAUGUGGCGGACUGAUAAUGUGUCACCACUCGCCAGAGCUUAUUGAAAUGACUUUGAAAUUUAGCUACAAAAAAAGAGAGAACAAGCUCAGAGUAGCGAGUGCCAUCCACAAAGUUCAGAAGAUCGCACCGGACCCACCAGUGUUUUAUACUUAUUCAUCACAACUUGUUAUACCCUUGUUAGUUAAUCUUGAUGGCACGGUUUAUAUGCUCAGAUAGGGCUUGCUGUCUGGACGGUGUGGUACUAGUCUUUCUAGCGAAUGUGGCGGAGUAAUACCGUGUGUCACCAGUCGCCACCGUGCUUUAUACUUAUUCAUCACAGCUUGUUAUACCCUUGUUAAUUAAUCUUGAUGGCACGAUUUAUAUGCUCAGAUAGGGCUUGUUGUCUGGACGAUGUCGUACUAGUCUUGCUAGUAAAUGUGGCGAAGUGAUACUCUGUCUGUGUAUCACCACUCGUCAGAGAUUAUUGAAAUGACUUUGAAAUUUAGUUACCAAAAAAAGAGAACAAGCUAAAUUUAGUUACCAAAAAUGUGGCGAAGUGAUAUUGUGUCUGUGUGUCACCACUCGCCAGAGCUUAUUGAAAUGACUUUGAAAUUUAGUUACCAAAAAAAGAGAACAAGCUAAAUUUAGUUACCAAAUAAAAAAGAGAACAAGCUCAGAGUAGCGGGUGUCAUCUCCACAAAGUUCAGAAGAUCGCACCGGACCCACCAGUGCUAAUGCAUUUCAUCACGGCUUGUUAUACCCUUGUUAGUUAAUCUUGAUGGCACGGUUUAUAUGCUCAGAUAGGGCUUGCUAUCUGUACGGUGUGGUACUAGUCUUGCUAGUGAUUGUGGCGGAGUAAUACUGUGUGUCACCACUCACCACCGUGCUUUAUACUUAUUCACAACAGAUUGUUAUACCCUUGUUAAUUAAUCUUGAUGGCACGAUUUAUAUGCUCAGAUAGGGCUUGUUGUCUGGACGGUGUGGUACUAGUCUUGCUAGUGAAUGUGGCGAAGUGAUACUGUGUCUGUGUGUCACCACUCGCCAGAGCUUAUUGAAAUGACAUUGAAACUUAGUUACCAAAAAAAGAGAACAAGCUAAAUUUAGUUACCAAAAAUGUGGCGAAGUGAUACUGUGUUUGUGUGUCACCACUCGCUAGAGCUUAUUGAAAUGACUUUGAAAUUUAGUUACCAAAAAAAGAGAACAAGCUAAAUUUAGUUACCCAAUAAAAAAGAGAACAAGCUCAGAGUAGCGAGUGUCAUCUCCACAAAGUUCAGAAGAUCGCACCGGACCUACCAAUGCAAAUGCAUUUCAUCACAGCUUGUUAUACCCUUGUUAGUUAAUAUUGAUGGCACGAUUUAUAUGCUCAGAUAGGGCUUGUUGUCUGUACGGUGUGGUACUAGUGUUGCUAGCGAAUGUGGCGGAGUAAUACUGUGUGUCACCACUCACAACCGUGCUUUAUACUUAUUCAUCACAGCUUGUUAUACCCUUGUUAAUUAAUCUUGAUGGCACAAUUUAUAUUUUCUAAUAGGGCUUAUUGUUUGGACGGUGUGGUACUGGUCUUGCUAGUGAAUGUGGCCAAGUGAUACUGUGUCUGUGUGUCACCACUCGCGAGGGCUUAUUGAAAUGACUUUGAAAUUUAGUUAGCAAAAAAAGAGAACAAGCUAAAUUUAGUUACCAAAAAUGUGGCGAAGUGAUACUGUGUCUGUGUGUCACCACUCGCCAGAGCUUAUUGAAAUGACUUUGAAAUUUAGUUACCAAAAAAAGAGAACAAGCUAAAUUUAGUUUCCAAAUAAAAAAGAGAACAAGCUCAGAGUAGCGAGUGUCAUCUCCACAAAGUUCAGAAGAUCGCACCGGACCCACCAGUGCUAAUGCAUUUCAUCACAACUUGUUAUACCCUUGUUAGUUAAUCUUGAUGGCACGAUUUAUAUGCUCAGAUAGGGCUUGCUGUCUGGCCGGUGUGGUACUAGUCUUGCUAGCGAAUGUGGCGGAGUAAUAAUGUGUGUCACCACUCGUCACCGUGCUUUAUACUUAUUCAUCACAGCUUGUUAUACCCUUGUUAAUUAAUCUUGAUGGCACGAUUUAUAUGCUCAGAUAGGGCUUGUUGUCUGGACGGUGUGGUACUAGUCUUGCUAGUGAAUGUGGCGAAGUGAUACUGUGUCUGUGUGUCACCACUCGCUAGAGCUUAUUGAAAUGACUUUGAAAUUUAGUUACAAAAAAAGAGAACAAGCUAAACUUGGUAACGAAAAAUGUGGCGAAGUGAUAUUGUGUCUGUGUGUCACCACUCGCCAGAGCUUAUUGAAAUGACUUUGAAAUUUAGUUACCAAAAAAAGAGAACAUGGUAAAUUUAGUUACCAAAUAAAAAAGAGAACAAGCUCAGAGUAGCGAGUGUCAUCUCCACAAAGUUCAGAAGAUCGCACCGGACCUACCAGUGCUAAUGCAUUUCAUCACAGCUUGUUAUACCCUUGUUAGUUAAUCUUGAUGGUACGGUUUAUAUGCUCAGAUAGGGCUUGCUGUCUAGCCGGUGUGGUACUAGUCUUGCUAGCGAAUGUGGCGGAGUAAUAAUGUGUCACCACUCGUCACCGUGCUUUAUACUUAUUCAUCACAGCUUGUUAUACCCUUGUUAAUUAAUCUUGAUGGCACGAUUUAUAUGCUCAGAUAGGACUUGUUGUCUGAACGGUGUGGUACUAGUCUUGCUAGUGAAUGUGGCGAAGUGAUACUGUGUCUGUGUGUCAGCACUCGCCAGAGCUUAUUGAAAUGACUUUGAAAUUUAGUUACCAAAAAAAAGAGAACAAGCUAAAUUUGGUUACGAAAAAUGUGGCGAAGUGAUAUUGUGUCUAUGUGUCACCACUCGUCAGAGCUUAUUGAAAUGACUUUGAAAUUUAGUUACCAAAAAAAGAGAACAAGUUAAAUUUAGUUACCAAAAAUGUGGCGAAGUGAUAUUGUGUCUGUGUGUCACCACUCGCCAGAGCUUAUUGAAAUGACUUUGAAAUUUAUUUACCAAAAAAAGAGAACAAGCUAAAUUUAGUUACCAAAUAAAAAAGAGAACAAGCUCAGAGUAGCGAGUGUCAUCUCCACAAAGUUCAGAAGAUCGCACCGGACCCACCAGUGCUAAUGCAUUUCAUCACAGCUUGUUAUACCCUUGUUAGUUAAUCUUGAUGGCACGGUUUAUAUGCUCAGAUAGGGCUUGUUGUCUGUACGGUGUGGUACUAGUCUUGCUAGCGAAUUUGGCGAAGUAAUAUUGUGUGUCACCACUCACCACCGUGCUUUAUACUUAUUCAUCACUGCUUGUUAUACCCUUGUUAAUUAAUCUUGAUGGCACGAUUUAUAUGCUCAGAUAGGGCUUGUUGUCUGGAAGGUGUGGUACUAGUCUUGCUAGUGAAUCUGGCGAAGUGAUACUGUGUCUGUGUGUCACCACUCGCCAGAGCUUAUUGAAAUGACUUUGAAAUUUAGUUACAAAAAAAAGAGAACAAGCUAAAUUUAGUUACCAAAUAAAAAAGAGAACAAGCUCAGAGUAGCGAGUGUCAUGUCCCCAAAGUUCAGAUGAUCGCACCGGACCCACCAGUGCUAAUGCAUUUCAUCACAGCUUGUUAUACCCUUGUUAGUGAAUCUUGAUGGCAUGGUUUAUAUGCUCAGAUAUGGCUUGCUGUCUGUACAGUGUGGUACUAGUCUUGCUAGCGAAUGUGGCGGAGUAAUACUAUGUGUCACCACUCACCACCGUGCUUUAUACUUAUUCAUCACAACUUGUUAUACCCUUGUUAAUUAAUCUUGAUGGCACGAUUUAUAUGCUCAGAUAGGGCUUGUUGUCUGGACGGUGUGGUACUAGUCUAGCUAGUGAAUGUGGCAAAGUGAUACUGUAUCUGUGUGUCACCACUCGCUAGAGCUUAUUGAAAUGACUAUGAAAUUUAGUUAAAAAAAGAGAACAAGCUAAAUUUAGUUACCAAAAAUGUGGCAAAGUGAUAUUGUGUCUGUGUGUCACCACUCGCCAGAGCUUAUUGAAAUGACUUUGAAAUUUAGUUACCAAAAAAAAGAGAACAAGGUAGAUUUAGUUACCAAAUAAAAAAGAGAACAAGCUCAGAGUAGCGAGUGUCAUCUCCACAAAUUUCAGAAGAUCCCACCGGACCUACCAGUGGUAUUGCAUUCAUCACAACUUGUUAUACCCUGGUUAGUUAAUCUUGAUGGCACGGUUUAUAUGCUCAGAUAGGGCUUGCUGUCUGUACGGUGUGGUACUAGUCUUGCUAGCGAAUGUGGCAGAGUAAUACUAUGUGUCACCACUCACUAUCGUGCUUUAUACUUAUUCAUCACAGCUUGUUAUACCCUUGUUAAUUAAUCUUGAUGGCACGAUUUAUAUGCUCAGAUAGGGCUUUUCGUUUGGACGGUGUGGUACUAGUCUUGCUAGUGAAUGUGGCGAAGUGAUACUGUGUCUGUGUGUCACCACUCGCCAGGGCUUAUUGAAAUGACUUUGAAAUUUAGUUACCAAAAAAAGAGAACAAGCUAAAUUUAGUUACCAAAAAUGUGGCGAAGUGAUACUGUGUCUGUGUGUCACCACUCACUAGAGCUUAUUGAAAUGACUUUGAAAUUUAGUUACCAAAAAAAGAGAACAAGCUAAAUUUAGUUUCCAAAUAAAAAAGAGAACAAGCUCAGAGUAGCGAGUGUCAUCUCCACAAAGUUCAGAAGAUCGCACCGGACCCACCAGUGCUAAUGCAUUUCAUCACAGCUUGUUAUACCCUUGUUAGUUAAUCUUGAUGGCACGGUUUAUAUCCUCAGAUAUGGCUUGCUGUCUGGACGGUGUGGUACUAGUCUUGCUAGCGAAUGUGGCGGAGUAAUAAUGUGUGUCACCACUCGUCAAUGUGCUUUAUACUUAUUCAUCACAGCUUGUUAUACCCUUGUUAAUUAAUCUUGAUGGCACCAUUUAUAUGCUCAGAUAGGGCUUGUUGUCUGGACGGUGUGGUACUAGUCUUGCUAGUGAAUGUGGCUAAGUGAUACUAUGUCUGUGUAUCACCACUCGCUAGAGCUUAUUAAAAUGACUUUGAAAUUUAGUUACAAAAAAAGAGAACAAGCUAAAUUUAGUUACCAAAAAUGUGGCAAAGUGAUACUGUGUCUGUGUGUCACCACUCGCCAGAGCUUAUUGAAAUGACUUUGAAAUUUAGUUACCAAAAAAAGAGAACAAGGUAAAUUUAGUUACCAAAUAAAAAGAGAACAAGCUCAGAGUAGCGAGUGCCAUCUCCACAAAGUUUAGAAGAUCGCACCGGACCUACCAGUGGUAUUGCAUUCAUCACAGCUUGUUAUACCCUUGUUAGUUAAUCUUGAUGGCACGGUUUAUAUGCUCAGAUAGGGCUUGCUGUCUGGACGGUGUGGUACUAGUCUUGCUAGCGAAUGUGGCAGAGUAAUAAUGUGUCACCACUCGUCACCGUGCUUUAUACUUAUUCAUCACAGCUUGUUAUAUCCUUGUUAAUUAAUCUUGAUGGCACGAUUUAUAUGCUCAUAUAGGGCUUGUUGUCUGAAUGGUGUGAUACUAGUCUUGCUAGUGAAUGUGGCGAAGUGAUACUGUGUCUGUGUGUCAGCACUCGCCAGAGCUUAUUGAAAUGACUUUGAAAUUUUGUUACCAAAAAAAGAGAACAAGCUAAAUUUGGUUAAGAAAAAUGUGGCGAAGUGAUAUUGUGUCUGUGUGUCACCACUCGCCAGAGCUUAUUGAAAUGACUUUGAAAUUUAGUUACCAAAAAAAGAGAACAAGCUAAAUUUAGUUACCAAAAAUGUGGCGAAGUGAUAUUGUGUCUGUGUGUCACCACUCGCCAGAGCAUAUUGAAAUGACUUUGAAAUUUAGUUACCAAAAAAAGAGAACAAGCUAAAUUUAGUUACCAAAUAAAAAAGAGAACAAGCUCAGAGUAGCGAGUGUCAUCUCCACAAAGUUCAGAAGAUCGCACCGGACCCACCAGUGCUAAUGCAUUUCAUCACAGCUUGUUAUACCCUUGUUAGUUAAUCUUGAUGGCACUGUUUAUAUGCUCAGAUAGGGCUUGCUGUCUGUACGGUGUGGUACUAGUCUUGCUAGCGAAUGUGGCGGAGUAAUACUGUGUGUCACCACUCACCACCGUGUUUUAUACUUAUUCAUCACAGCUUGUUAUACCCUUGUUAAUUAAUCUUGAUGGCACGAUUUAUAUGCUCAGAUAGGGCUUGUUGUCUGGACGGUGUGGUACUAGUCUUGCUAGUGAAUGUGGCGAAGUGAUAUUGUGUCUGUGUGUCACCACUCGCCAGAGCUUAUUGAAAUGACUUUGAAAUUUAGUUACCAAAAAGAAGAGAACAAGCUAAAUUUAGUUACCAAAAAUGUGGCGAAGUGAUACUGUGUCUGUGUCACCACUCGCCAGAGCUUAUUGAAAUGACUUUGAAAUUUAGUUACCAAAAAAAAGAACAAGGUAAAUUUAGUUACCAAAUAAAAAAGAGAACAAGCUCAGAGUAGCGAGUGUCAUCUCCACAAAGUUCAGAAGAUCGCACCGGACCCACCAGUGCUGAUGUAUUUCAUCACAGCUUGUUAUAACCUUGUUAGUUAAUCUUGAUGGCACUGUUUAUAUGCUCAGAUAGGGCUUGCUGUCUGUACGGUGUGGUACUAGUCUUGCUAGCGAAUGUGGCGGAGUAAUAUUGUGUGUCACCACUCACCACUGUGCUUUAUACUUAUUCAUCACAACUUGUUAUACCCUUGUUAAUUAAUCUUGAUGGCACGAUUUAUAUGCUCAGAUAGGGCUUGUUGUCUGGACGAUGUGGUACUAGUCUUGCUAGUGAAUGUGGCGAAGUGAUACCGUGUCUGUGUGUCACCACUCGCGAGAGCUUAUUGAAAUGACUUUGAAAUUUAGUUACCAAAAAAAGAGAACAAGCUAAAUUUAGUUACCAAAAAUGUGGCGAAGUGAUAUUGUGUCUGUGUGUCACCACUCGCCAGAGCUUAUUGAAAUGACUUUGAAAUUUAGUUACCAAAAAAAGAACAAGGUAAAUUUAGUUAACAAAUAAAAAAGAGAACAAGCUCAGAGUAGCGAGUGUCAUCUCCACAAAGUUCAGAAGAUGGCACCGGACCUACCAGUGCUCAUGCAUUUCAUCACAGCUUGUUAUACCCUUGUUAGUUAAUCUUGAUGGCACGGUUUAUAUGCUCAGAUAGGGCUUGCUGUCUGUACGGUGUGGUACUAGUCUUGCUAGCGAAUGUGGCGGAGUAAUACUGUGUGUCACCACUCACCACCGUGUUUUAUACUUAUUCAUCACAACUUGUUAUACCCUUGUUAAUUAAUCUUGAUGGCACGAUUUAUAUGCUCAGAUAGGGCUUGUUGUCUAGACGGUGUGGUACUAGUCUUGCUAGUGAAUGUGGCGAAGUGAUACUGUGUCUGUGUGUCACCACUCGCCAGAGCUUAUUGAAAUGACUUUCAAAUUUAGUUACCAAAAAAAGAGAACAAGCUAAAUUUAGUUACCAAAAAUGUGGCGAAGUGAUACUGUGUCUGUUUGUCACCACUCGCCAGAGCUUAUUGAAAUGACUUUGAAAUUUAGUUACCAAAAAAAAGAACAAGGUAAAUUUAGUUACCAAAUAAAAAAGAGAACAAGCUCAGAGUAGCGAGUGUCAUCUCCACAAAGUUCAGAAGAUCGCACCGGACCCACCAGUGCUAAUGUAUUUCAUCAUAGCUUGUUAUACCCUUGUUAGUUAAUCUUUAUGGCACUAUUUAUAUGCUCAGAUAGGGCUUGCUGUCUGUACGGUGUGGUACUAGUCUUGCUAGCGAAUGUGGCGGAGUAAUACUGUGUGUCACCACUCACCACCGUGCUUUAUACUUAUUCAUCACAACUUGUUAUACCCUUGUUAAUUAAUCUUGAUGGCACGAUUUAUAUGCUCAGAUAGGGCUUGUUGUCUGGACGAUGUGGUACUAGUCUUGCUAGUGAAUGUGGCGAAGUGAUACUGUGUCUGUGUGUCACCACUCGCGAGAGCUUAUUGAAAUGACUUUGAAAUUUAGUUACCAAAAAAAGAGAACAAGCUAAAUUUAGUUACCAAAAAUGUGGCGAAGUGAUACUAUGUCUGUGUGUCACCACUCGCCAGAGCUUAUUGAAAUGACUUUGAAAUUUAGUUACCAAAAAAAAGAACAAGGUAAAUUUAGUUACCAAAUAAAAAAGAGAACAAGCUCAGAGUAGCGAGUGUCAUCUCCACAAAGUUCAGAAGAUCGCACCGGACCUACCAGUGCUAAUGCAUUUCAUCACAGCUUGUUAUACCCUUGUUAGUUAAUCUUGAUGGCACGGUUUAUAUGCUUAGAUAGGGCUUGCUGUCUGUACGGUGUGGUACUAGUCUUGCUAGCGAAUGUGGUGGAGUAAUAAUGUGUGUCACCACUCACUACCGUGCUUUAUACUUAUUCAUCACAGCUUUUUAUACCCUUGUUAAUUAAUCUUGAUGUCACGAUUUAUAUGCUCAGAUAGGGCUUGUUGUUUGGACGGUGUGGUACUGAGAGCACCUAGAGGGGGGGUGAAUAGGUGAUCCUGUAAAACUUGAAACUUAAGCCACAAAAACUUGGUUAAGUGUUAGCACAAUAAUGCCAAGUGGCUAGAGAGGAGAUCUUGCACAAUACGAUAACCACAAAGAGUCCAACAGAGAGAAGACACAAUGGUUUAUCCCGUGGUUCGGCCAAGUACAAAACUUGCCUACUCCACGUUGUGGCGUCCCAACGGACGAGAGUUGCACUCAACUCCUCUCAAGUGAUCCAAUGAUCAACUUGAAUACCAUGGUGUUUUGCUUUUCUUUUUUUUAUCCCGUUCACGAGGAAUCUCCACAACUUGGAACCUCUCGCCCUUACACUUUUGAUGUUCACAGAGAAUCACGGAGUAAGGGAGGGAUGAGCAACGCACACAAGACUCAAAAAUCAGAGCAACAACACGCACACAAGUCGCAACAAGAGCUCGCAACACAACCCAAUGAGUUUACAACUCAACAAGAGCUCUAGAUGCUAUCACAAAGAAACAAAUGCGUGGAAUCGAAGUCUCGGUGCUUAGGAUUGCUUUGAGUAUGCUUGGUGUACUCCUCCAUGCGCCUAGGGGUCCCUUUUAUAGCCCCAAGGCAGCUAGGAGCCGUUGAGAGCAAUCUGGGAAGGCAAUUCUUGCCUUCUGUCGUCUGGCGCACCGGACAGUCCGGUGCACACCGGACACUGUCCGGUGCCCGAUUUCCUUCCUAAAAUGGCGCAGCCGACCGUUGUAGAUUUAGGAGCCGUUGGCGCACCGGACAUGUCUGGUGCACACCGGACAGUCCGAUGCCCCCUUCUAGCCGUUGGCUCGGCCACGUGUCCCGCGCAGAUUGCGCGGCCGACCUUUGGCCCGGCCGACCGUUGGCUCACCGGACAGUCCGGUGCACACCGGACAGUCCAGUGAAUUAUAGCCGUACGUCGUCGGUGAAUUCCCGAGAGCGGCCAGUUCGCUCGAGUCAGCCUGGCGCACCGGACACUGUCCGGUGCACCACCGGACAGUCCGGUGCUCCCAGACUGGGCAGAUUCUUGGCUGCUCGAGCCAAGACAUUUCCAAUUGGAUUUUUCCUGUUUCCAGCACUUAGACACAAUACAUUAGUCCAUAAAACAAUGUACUAAGUCUGAGAAACAUACCUUUAUCCUUGGUUUGUACUUUGUCCACCAUUUUACAUUUAAGCACUUGUGUUAGACACUAAAUCACCAAAAUACUUAGAAAUGGCCCAAGGGCACAUUUCCCUUUCAAUCUCCCCCUUUUUGGUGAUUUAUGCCAACACAAUAUAAAGCAAGUAGAACAAAUACAAACUUACUUCAAAUAAGAACUCAAAUCGUUUUGAUUCAGAUUUGACAUAUAUGGAUCACUCUUUGCCACCACUUGGUUUGUUUUUGUAAAUCAAACUCAAAUUUCUAUCUCUAAGUCAAACACACAUGUUAAGACAUAAAGAGAGUCAUUCCAAGAGAAAUUGAUUCAAGAUUUCAAAAACUCCCCUUUUUCCCAUAAUCAACACUUCUCCCCACAAGAAGCCAACUUUUGACAAGAGAGACAAUAAAUGAGUUUUGACAAACCAAAAGCUCUAUUCUACUAUUUUCAAAAUAUCUCAAGUGGUAGCUGAUCCAUUUAUUGCUUUGGCCUUUAUUUUCUCCCCCUUUGGCAUCAAGCACCAAAACGGGAUUAAUCUUGGCCCCAGAACCCCAUUGCCUCACCAAAAUCUUCAAUAAGAAUACAAAGGCAAUAAGAGUACAUGAGAUGAACUUGGAAUAAGUUACCCUCUCAUCGGAGUGCAGUGGAAGUCUUUCAUGGUCCAAGUCCACCUUUUCCCUUUCAAACCUCCUUUGAGACUAAAACAAGCAAACUCAAGCACAUGGUUAGUCUCAAAGGGUCAAGUUGUAACACAUCUCCCCCUAAACAUGUGCAUCACUUUGCAACGGACUUGUGAGGUCCAGGAAGUGUUUGUACAACUUGAGCACCAUUAUUAAGCAACAAAAUGCAUAAGGAACAUGAUCAAAGGCAUAAACACAUGUAUGCUAUAAAUCAAUCCAGGUUCCGCGAAUCUAAGACAUUUAGCUCACUACGCAACCUGCAAAAGGUCUUCUCAUCUAAAGGCUUGGUAAAGAUAUCGGCUAGCUGGUUCUCGGUGCUAACAUGAAACACUUCGAUAUCUCCCUUUUGCUGGUGGUCUCUCAAAAAGUGAUGUCGAAUGUCUAUGUGCUUUGUGUGGCUGUGUUCAACAGGAUUUUCUGCCAUGCGGAUAGCACUCUCAUUAUCACAUAGGAGUGGGACUUUGCUCAGAUUGUAGCCAAAGUCCCUGAGGGUUUGCCUCAUCCAAAGUAGUUGCACGCAACACUGUCCUGCGGCAACAUACUCGGCCUCAGCGGUGGAUAGGGCAACAGAGGUAUGUUUCUUAGAAUUCCAUGACACCAGGGACCUUCCUAAGAAUUGGCACGUCCCCGAUGUACUCUUCCUAUCGACCUUACAUCCAGCAUAGUCGGAAUCUGAAUAUCCAAUUAGGUCAAAGGUAGACCCCUUUGGAUACCAGAGCCCGAAGCAAGGCGUAGCAACGAAAUAUCUAAGGAUUCGCUUCACUGCCACUAAGUGACACUCCUUAGGAUCAGAUUGAAAUCUAGCACACAUGCAUACGCUAAGCAUAAUAUCUGGUCUACUAGCACAUAAGUAAAGUAACGACUCUAUUAUUGACCGGUAUGCCUUUUGAUCAACAGACUUACCUCCUUUGUUGAGGUCAGUGUGUCCGUCGGUCCCCAUCGGAGUCUUUGCGGGCUUGGCAUCCUUCGUCCCAAACCGCUUCAGCAAGUCUUGCGUGUACUUCGUUUGAGAGAUGAAGGUGCCGUCCUUGAGUUGCUUCACUUGGAACCCAAGGAAGUAGUUCAACUCGCCCAUCAUUGACAUCUCGAAUUUCUGCGUCAUCACCCUGCUAAACUCUUCACAAGACUUUUUAUUAGUAGAACCAAAUAUUAUGUCAUCGACAUAAAUUUGGCACACAAAAAGAUCACUGUCACAAGUCUUAGUGAAAAGAGUUGGAUCGGCUUUCCCAACCUUGAAAGCAUUAGCAAUUAAGAAAUCUCUAAGGCAUUCAUACCAUGCUCUUGGGGCUUGCUUAAGUCCAUAGAGCGCCUUAGAGAGCUUACACACGUGGUCGGGGUACCGUUCAUCCUCGAAGCCAGGGGGUUGCUCCACGUACACCUCCUCCUUGAAUGGCCCGUUGAGGAAAGCGCUCUUCACAUCCAUUUGGAACAACCUGAAAGAAUGGUGAGCGGCAUAUGCUAGCAAAAUACGAAUGUACUCUAGCCUAGCCACAGGAGCAAAAGUCUCCUCAAAGUCCAAACCUGCGACUUGGGCAUAACCUUUUGCCACAAGUCGAGCCUUGUUCCUCGUCACCACCUCGUGCUCGUCCUGUUUGUUGCGGAACACCCACUUGGUUCCCACAACGUUUUGCUUGGGACGAGGCACCAGUGUCCAAACUUCAUUGCGCUUGAAGUUGUUGAGCUCCUCUUGCAUGGUCAACACCCAGUCCGGAUCUAGCAAGGCCUCUUCUACCCUGAAAGGCUCAUUAGAAGAGACAAAGGAGUAAUGCUCACAAAAAUUAACCAAUCGAGACCGAGUAGUUACUCCCUUGCUUAUAUCACCCAGAAUUUGGUCGACGGGAUGAUCCCUUUGAAUCAUCGCUCGAACUUGGGUUGGAGGUGCCGGUUGAGUUUAUUCCUCCAUCACAUGAUCAUCUUGUGCUCCCCCUUGAUCACACGCCUCCUGUUGAUGAACCUGUUCAUCGUCUUGAGUUGGGGGAUGCACCAUAGUUGAGGAAGAAGGUUGAUCUUGCUCAUCUUGUUCCUGUGGUCGCACAUCUCCAAUUGCCAUGGUGCGUAUUGCGGUCGUCGGAAUAUCUUCUUCAUCUACAUCAUCAAGAUCAACAACUUGCUCUCUUGGAGAGCCAUUAGUCUCAUCAAAUACAACGUCACUAGAGACUUCAACCAACCCCGAUGAUUUGUUGAAGACUCUAUACGCCUUUGUAUUUGAAUCAUAACCUAACAAAAACCCUUCUAUAGCUUUGGGAUCAAACUUAGAAUUUCUACCCUUCUUCACUAGAAUGUAGCAUUUGCUCCCAAAUACACGAAAGUAAGAUACAUUGGGUUUGUUACCGGUUAGCAGCUCAUACGACAUCUUCUUGAGGAGGCGAUGUAGGUAGACCCUGUUGAUGGCGUGGCAAGCCGUGUUUACGGCUUCCGACCAAAAGCACUCGGGGGUCUUGUACUCUCCAAGCAUCGUCCUCACCAUAUCGAUGAGCGUCCUGUUCUUCCUCUCUACCACACCAUUUUGUUGUGGUGUGUAGGGAGCGGAGAACUCAUGCUUGAUCCCUUCCUCCUCAAGAAACUCCUCCACUUGAAGGUUCUUGAACUCAGAUCCAUUGUCGCUCCUUAUCUUCUUCACCUUGAGCUCAAACUCGUUUUCAGACUUAUCCUGCAAAAAGAAUACCCAAGUGAAGCGGGAAAAGUCAUCCACAAUAACUAACCCAUACUUACUUCCCCCUAUGCUUAGAUAGGCGACAGGUCCGAAGAGGUCCAUAUGUAGCAGCUCCAGGGGUCUUGAUGUGGUCAUCACAUUCUUGCUGUGAUGUGCUCCUCCCACCUGUUUACCUGCUUGACAUGCUGCACAAGGUCUAUCCUUUUCGAAUUGCGCGUUAGUUAAACCUAUCACGUGUUCUCCCUUUAGAAGCUUGUGAAGGUUCUUCAUCCCCACAUGAGCUAAGCGGCGAUGCCAUAGCCAGCCCAUGCUAGUCUUAGCUAUUAAGCAUGCAUCUAGACCGGCCUCCUCUUUUGCAAAGUCAACUAAAUAAAGCUUGCCGUCUAAUACACCUUUAAAAGCUAGUGAACCAUCACUUCUUCUAAAGACAGACACAUCUAUGUUUGUGAAUAAAUAGUUAUAUCCCAUAUUGCAUAAUUGACUAACAGAUAGCAAGUUAUAUCCAAGAGACUCAACUAAAAACACAUUAGAGAUAGAGUGCUCAUUUGAAAUAGCAAUUUUACCUAAUCCUUUUACCUUGCCUUGAUUCCCAUCACCGAAUAUUAUUGAAUCUUGGGAAUCCUUGUUUUUGACGUAGGAGGUGAACAUUUUCUUCUCCCCUGUCAUAUGGUUUGUGCAUCCGCUAAUGUCGGGGACCAUAAUUAGGGGUACCCACAAGGCUCCUAAUUCUCAGCUGGUAACCCCCAUCAGCAUAAAGCUGCAAAGGCCUGAUGGGUGCGACUAAGUCAGGGAUCAGUCCAUUCGAGCGACUCGAUCACGCCUCGCCCGAGCCUAGCCUCGGACAAGGGCAGCCGACCCCGGAGGAUUUCCGUCUCACCCGAGGCCCCCCUCCGACGGCGAACAUAUUUCCGGCUCGCCCGAGGCCCCGCCUUCGCUAAGAAGCAACCCUGACCAAAUCGCCGCACCAACCGACCAAAUCGCAGGAGCAUUUAAUGCAAAGGUGGCCUGACACCUUUAUCCUGACGCGCGCCCCCCAGCCGGCAGAGCCGAAGUGACCGCCGUCACUUCGCCGCUCCACUGACCGACCUGACGGAAGGACAGCGCCGCCUGCGCCACUCCGACUACGGUGCCACUUGACAGAGUGAAACUGACAGGCAGUCAGGCCCUGCCGAAGGCAUCAUAGGAAGCUCCGCUUCGCCCGACCCAGGGCUCGGACUCAGGCUAAGUCCCGAAGGACGGCGAACUCCGCUUCGCCCAACCCAGGGCUCGGACUCGGGCUAAGUCCCGGAAGACGGCGAACUCCGCUCCGCCCGACCCAGGGCUCGGACUCGGGCUAAGUCCCGGAAGACGGCGAACUCCGCUCCGCCCGACCCAGGGCUCGGACUCGGGCUAAGUCCCGGAAGACGGCGAACUCCGCUCCGCCCGACCCAGGGCUCGGACUCGGGCUCAGCCCCGGAAGACGGUGAUCUCCGCUCCGCCCGACCCAGGGCUCGGACUUGGGCUCGGCCCCGGAAGACGGCGAACUCCGCUCCGCCCGACCCAGGGCUCGGACUCGGGCUCAGCCCCAGAAGACGACGAACUCCGCUUCGCCCGACCUCAGGGCUCGGACUCCGCCCUGGCCUCAGCCAACGGCCUCCGCCUCGCCCGACCCAGGGGCUCAGACUCGGCCUCGGCCACGGAAGACAGACUCGACCUCGGCUUCGGAGGAGCUUCCACAUUGCCCAACCUAGGGCGCAGGCCAGCCACGUCAACAGGAGGCGCCAUCAUCACCCUACUCCGAGCUGACUCGGGCCGCAGGGAACAAGACCGGCGUCCCAUCUGGCUAGCUCCGCCAGAUAGGCAAUGAUGGCGCCCCGCGUACUCUGUGACGACGGCGGCUCUCAGCCCCCUUACGGAAGCAAGAGGACGUCAGCAAGGACCCAACCGCUCCGACAGCUGUCCCUCCGCCAGGCUCCAUCGCUCCUACGACGGCCACGACAUCACACCCGCUGGGUGCCAAAAAUCUCUCCGGCUGCCACAACGGCAUGUACUUAGGGCGCUAGCUCUCCUCCACUAGACACGUAGCACUCUGCUACACCCCCCAUUGUACACCUGGAUCCUCUCCUUAUGCCUAUAAAAGGAAGGACCAGGGCCCUCUUAGAGAGGGUUGGCCGCCCGGGGACGAGGACGAGACAGGCGCUCGCUUGGAGCCGCUCGCUCCCUCUCCCGCGUGGACGCUUGUAACCCCCUACUGCAAGCGCACCCGACCUGGGCGCGGGACGAACACGAAGGCCGCGGGAUUCCCACCUCUCUCACGCCGGUCUCCGGCCGCCUCGCUCUCCCCCCUUCGCGCUCGCCCUCGCGCUCGACCCAUCUGGGCUGGAGCACGCGGCGACAUUCACUCGUCGGCCCAGGGACCCCCCCGGUCUCGAAACGCCGACAGUUGGCGCGCCAGGUAGGGGCCUGCUGCGUGUUGACGAACAGCUUCCCGUCAAGCUCCAGAUGGGCAGUCUCCAGCAACCUCUCCUACCCAGGACGGUGCUCCGUUUCGAGAGUCUUGAGUUCAUGUCCCUCGACGGCGGCUACGACAUGAUACUCCUUCCGCCGCCGCGCGACAACGACAAUGGCGGCCGACAGCCCGCCCGCCGGCGGCGGAAUCGACGACGCCUUCCCCGCGGUGGAAGAACAACCUUCGAGCUCAUCCCACCUCCUUCCCCGCCGGCGGAGGGGAAGGCAGGGCAACCAAGGCCAAGCAGGAGGCAGCGCCUCAUUAGCUGUCGAGCGAGUCGACAGCACCGGCACCCCAACGGGGGGCGCACCGGGUAUUGACUUCGCGCUUGAGACGAAGACGAGCGCCGUCUCCUCGCAACACGCUGAUCCCGAGCAAGCGGACGACGCCAGCGCGCUCGCGAAAAGCUUGCUGGACGUCACCCUCGUACCUGAGACGAUGGUGCAGCCAGUCCCCGACGUGACUUUAUCGCCGCUCGUCGACCAAGAGGUACCGACCGAUUCCCGUCCCACGUCAUUUGGAUUCAGCCUCAACCCGCCUAGCGACCCCGCUUUGGCGGGCGCUCUUGUAGAGGCGAGUCCAAACCCUCUAGGGUUUCGCAUGCGGUCGCCUUGGGACCGGCUGACAGACGUCUCGACCUACGGGCCCUCUGGGUCCGAGGAAGACGACGAGCCCAACAUCUGCUCGGAUUUCUCUGGACUUGGCAACCCCAGUGCCAUGCGGGACUUCAUGACCGCAUGUGACUACUGCCUCUCUGACUGUUCCGAUGGUAGCCGUAGCCUCGGCGACGAGGACUGCGGUCCAAGCCGCGAAUGCUUCCACGUCGAUCUAGGGGCUCCCUCCGAAGGCAAUCAUCUCGGCAUGCCGGAGGACGGUGAUCUCCCUAGGCCGGUGCCCCGCAUUGACAUCCCACGGGAGCUAGAUGUGGUCCCCGUUCAGGCGGGGGGCCAUGACCCACAGCUCGAGCAAAUCCGCGGGGUGCAGGCCAGGCUCGACGAGGGAGCAGGAGCGCUUGAGCCGAUCCGCCGGGACGUCGGGUAGGCAUGGGCGGGCCAACCCUUGGCCGGAGAAAUACGCCAUCUGCCCCAGGGCUUCCAGCACCGCGUCGUCGACGACAUCAGGGUCAGGCCGCCACCCGCAUCUAGUGGGGUCGGCCAGAACCUGGCUGCAGCAGCGAUGCUUCUCCGCGCGAUGCCGGAGCCAUCAACCACCGAGGGCCGGCGAAUCCAGGGGGAGCUCAAGAAUCUCCUGGAAGGCGCUGCAGUCCGACGGGCCGAGAGCUCUGCCUCCCGAAGGCAGGGGUACCCCUCGGAACCUCAUGCCGCGACUUCCCGAUUCAUGCGGGAAGCCUCGGUCUACACCGGGCGCACGCGCAACACCGUGCCUGCGGCCCCGGGCCGCCUCGGCAACGAGCACCAUCACCGCGACCGUCGGGCCCACCUCGACGAGAGGGUGCGCCGAGGCUACCACCCCAGGCGUGGGGGACGCUACGACAGCGGGGAGGAUCGGAGUCCCUCGCCCGAGCCACCCGGUCCGCAGGCCUUCAGUCGGGCCAUCCGACGGGCACCGUUCCCGACCCGGUUCCGACCCCCGACUACUAUCACAAAGUACUCGGGGGAGACGAGACCGGAACUGUGGCUCGCGGACUACCGCCUGGCCUGCCAACUGGGUGGAACGGACGAUGACAACCUCAUCAUCCGCAACCUCCCCCUGUUCCUCUCCGACACCGCUCGCGCCUGGUUGGAGCACCUGCCUCCGGGGCAGAUCUCCAACUGGGACGACCUAGUCCAAGCUUUCGCCGGCAAUUUCCAGGGCACGUACGUGCGCCCUGGGAAUUCCUGGGACCUCCAAAGCUGCCGGCAACAGCCGGGAGAGUCUCUCCGGGACUACAUCCGGCGAUUCUCGAAGCAGCGCACCGAGCUGCCCAACAUCACCGACUCGGAUGUCAUCGGCGCGUUCCUCGCCGGCACCACCUGCCGCGACCUGGUGAGCAAGUUGGGUCGCAAGACCCCCACCAGGGCGAGCGAGCUGAUGGACAUCGCCACCAAGUUCGCCUCCGGCCAGGAGGCAGUCGAGGCUAUCUUCCGAAAGGACAAGCAGCCCCAGGGCCGCCCAUCGAAAGAUGCUCCCGAGGCGUCAACUCAGUGUGGCGCCAAGAAGAAAGGCAAGAAGAAGUCGCAAGCGAAACACGACGCCGCCGACGCGGACCUUGUCGCCGCCGCCGAGUACAAGAACCCUCGGAAACCCCCCGGAGGUGCCAACCUCUUCGACAAGAUGCUCAAGGAGCCGUGCCCCUAUCACCAAGGGCCCGUCAAGCACACCCUUGAGGAGUGCGUCAUGCUUCGGCGCCACUUCCACAGGGUCGGGCCACUCGCGGAGGGUGGCAGGGCCCGCGACGACGACAAGAAGGAAGAUCACCAAGCAGGAGAGUUCCCCGAGGUCCGCGACUGCUUCAUGAUCUACGGUGGGCAAGCGGCGAAUGCCUCGGCUCGGCACCGCAAGCAAGAGCGCCGGGAGGUCUGCUCGGUGAAGGUGGCGGCGCCAGUCUGCCUAGACUGGUCCGACAAGCCCAUCACCUUCGACCAAGCCGACCACCCCGACCACGUGCCGAGCCCGGGGAAAUACCCGCUCGUCGUCGACCCCGUCAUCGGCGACGUCAGGCUCACCAAGGUCCUUAUGGACGGAGGCAGCAGCCUCAAUAUCAUCUACGUCGAGACCCUCGGGCUCCUGCGUGUCGAUUUGUCCUCCGUCCGAGCAGGCGUUGCGCCCUUCCAUGGGAUCAUUCCCGGGAAGCGCGUCCAGCCCCUCGGACAACUCGACCUCCCCGUCUGCUUCGGAACACCCUCCAACUUUCGAAGGGAGACCCUGACAUUCGAGGUGGUCGGGUUCCGAGGAACCUACCACGCGGUACUGGGAAGGCCAUGAUACGCGAAGUUCAUGGCCGUCCCCAACUACACCUACCUGAAGCUCAAGAUGCCGGGCCCCAACGGGGUCAUCACCGUCGGCCCCACGUACAAACACGCGUUCGAAUGCGACGUGGAGUGCGUGGAGUACGCCGAGGCCCUCGCCGAGUCCGAGGCCCUCAUCGCCGACCUAGAAAGCCUCUCUAAGGAGGUGCCGGACGUGAAACGUCAUGCCGGCAACUUCGAGCCAGUGGAGACGGUUAAGGUCGUCCCCCUCGACCCCAGCGGCGACGCCUCUAAGCAGAUCCAGAUCGGCUCCGGGCUCGAUCCCAAAUAGGAAGCAGUGCUCGUCGACUUUCUCCGUGCGAACGCCGACGUCUUCGCGUGGAGUCCCUCGGACAUGCCCGGCAUAUCGAGGGAUGUCGCCGAGCACUCGCUGGACAUUCGAGCCGGAGCCCGACCUGUCAAGCAGCCUCUGCGCCGAUUCGACGAAGAGAAACGCAGAGCCAUAGGCGAGGAGAUCCACAAGCUAAUGGCGGCAGGGUUCAUCAAAGAGGUAUUCCAUCCCGAAUGGCUUGCCAACCCUGUGCUUGUGAGAAAGAAAGGGGGGAAAUGGCGGAUGUGUGUAGACUACACUGGUCUCAACAAAGCAUGUACAAAGGUUCCCUACCCUCUGCCUCGCAUCGAUCAAAUCGUGGAUUCCACUGCUGGGUGCGAAACCCUGUCUUUCCUCGAUGCCUACUCAGGGUAUCAUCAAAUCAGGAUGAAAGAGUCCGACCAGCUCGCGACUUCUUUCAUCACACCCUUCGGCAUGUACUGCUAUGUCACCAUGCCGUUCGGCUUGAGGAAUGCGGGCGCGACGUACCAGCGGUGCAUGAACCAUGUGUUCGGCGAACACAUUGGCCGCACGGUCGAGGCCUACGUCGAUGACAUCGUAGUCAAGACGAGGAAAGCUUCUGACCUCCUUUCCGACCUUGAAGUGACAUUCCGAUGCCUCAAGGCGAAAGGCGUCAAGCUCAAUCCCGAGAAGUGUGUCUUCGGGGUGCCCCGAGGCAUGCUCUUGGGGUUCAUCGUCUCCGAGCGGGGCAUCGAAGCCAACCCAGAGAAGAUCGCAGCCAUCACCAGCAUGGGGCCCAUCAAGGACUUGAAAGGCGUACAGAGGGUCAUGGGAUGUCUCGCGGCUCUGAGCCGUUUCAUCUCACGCCUCGGCGAAAGAGGUCUACCUCUGUACCGCCUCUUAAGGAAGGCCGAGUGCUUCACUUGGACCCCCGAGGCCGAGGAAGCUCUCGGGAACUUGAAGGCGCUCCUCACAAAGGCGCCUAUCUUGGUGCCUCCAGCUGCCGGAGAAGCCCUCUUGGUCUACGUCGCCGCGACCACUCAGGUGGUUAGCGCCGCGAUUGUGGUCGAGAGGCAAGAAGAGGGGCAUGCAUUGCCCGUUCAGAGGCCAGUUUACUUCGUCAGCGAGGUACUGUCCGAAACCAAGGUCCGCUACCCACAAGUUCAGAAGCUGCUGUAUGCAGUGAUCCUAGCACGGCGGAAGUUGCGACACUACUUCGAGUCUCAUCCGGUAACUGUGGUGUCAUCCUUCCCCCUCGGGGAGAUCAUCCAGUGCCGAGAGGCCUCGGGUAGGAUUGCAAAGUGGGCGGUGGAAAUCAUGGGCGAGACAAUCUCGUUCGCCCCUCGGAAGGCCAUCAAGUCCCAGGUUUUGGCGGACUUCGUGGCCGAAUGGGUCGACACCCAGCUACCGACGGCUCCGAUCCAACCAGAGCUCUGGACCAUGUCUUUCGACGGGUCGCUGAUGAAGACGGGAGCCGGCGCAGGCCUACUCUUCAUCUCGCCCCUCGGGAAACACCUACGCUAUGUGCUACGCCUCCAUUUCCCGGUGUCCAACAAUGUGGUUGAGUAUGAGGCUCUGGUCAACGGGUUGCGGAUCGCCAUCGAGCUAGGGGUCCGGCGCCUCGACGCCCGCGGUGACUCGCAGCUCGUCAUCGACCAAGUCAUGAAGAACUCCCACUGCCGCGACCCGAAGAUGGAGGCCUACUGCGAUGAGGUUCGGCGCUUGGAGGACAAGUUCUACGGGCUCGAGCUCAACCACAUCGCUCGGCGCUACAACGAGACUGCGGACGAGUUGGCUAAAAUAGCCUCGGGGCGAACAACGGUUCCCCCGAAUGUCUUCUCCCGGGAUCUGCAUCAACCUUCCAUCAAGAUCGACGACACGCCCGAGCCUGAGGCGCCCUCGGCCCAGUCCGAGGUACCCUCGGCCCAGCCCGAGGCACCCUCAGCUCGGCCCGAGGCGCCCUCGGUUCAGCCCGAGGUACCCUCGGCCCCCGAGGGUGAGGCACUGCGCGUCGAGGAGGAGCGAAGCGGGGCCACACCUGAUCGAAACUGGCAGACCCCGUACCUGCAAUAUCUCCACCUAGGAGAGCUACCCCUCGACCGAGCCGAAGCUCGGCGGGUGGCGCGGCGCGCCAAGUCGUUCGUCUUGCUGGGUGAUGAGAAGGAGCUCUACCACCACAGCCCCUCAGGCAUCCUCCAGCGAUGCAUCUCCGUCGCCGAAGGUCAGGAACUCCUGCGAGAGAUUCACUCGGGGGCCUGCGGCCAUCACGCAGCGCCUCGAGCCCUUGUCGGGAAUGCUUUCCGACAAGGCUUCUACUGGCCGACGGCGGUGGCCGACGCCACUAGAAUUGUCCGCACCUGCGAAGGGUGUCAAUUCUAUGCGAAGCAGACCCACCUGCCCGCUCAGGCUCUGCAGACGAUACCCAUCACCUGGCCCUUCACUGUGUGGGGUCUGGACCUCGUCGGCCCCUUGCAGAAGGCGCCCGGGGGCUACACGCACCUGCUGGUCGCCAUCGACAAAUUCUCCAAGUGGAUCGAGGUCCGACCUCUGAACAGCAUCAGGUCCGAGCAGGCGGUGGCGUUCUUCACCAACAUCAUCCAUCGCUUCAGGGUCCCAAACUCCAUCAUCACCGACAAUGGCACCCAGUUCACCGGCAGAAAGUUCUUGGACUUCUGCGAGGAUCACCACAUCCGGGUGGACUGGGCCGCCGUGGCUCAUCCCAUGUCAAAUGGGCAAGUAGAGCGUGCCAACGGCAUGAUUUUACAAGGGCUCAAGCCUCGGAUCUACAACGACCUCAACAAGUUCGGCAAGCGAUGGAUGAAGGAACUCCCCUCGGUGGUCUGGAGCCUGAGGACAACGCCGAGCCGAGCCACGGGUUUCACGCCGUUCUUCCUAGUCUACGGGGCCGAGGCCGUCUUGCCCACAGACCUGGAAUACGGCUCCCCGAGGACGAGGGCCUACAGCGAUCAAAGCAACCAAGCUAGCCGAGAAGACUCGCUGGACCAGCUGGAAGAGACUCGGGACAAGGCCUUACUACACUCGGCGCGGUACCAGCAGUCCCUGCGACGCUACCACGCCCGAGGGGUCCGGUCCCGAGACCUCCAGGUGGGCGACCUGGUGCUUCGGCUGCGACAAGACGCCCGAGGGAGGCACAAGCUCGCGCCCCCCUGGGAGGGACCGUUCGUCAUCGCCAAGGUUCUGAAGCCCGGAACAUACAAGCUAGCCAACAGUCAAGGCGAGGUCUACGGCAACGCUUGGAACAUCCAACAGCUACGUCGCUUCUACCCUUAAGAUGUUUUCAAGUUGUUCAUAUACCUCGCACCCACGCAAAGUUUAGUCAUCAAGGAAGGGUCGGCCUCGCCUCGGCAAAGCCCGACCCUCCCUCGGGGGCUAAAAUGGGGGGGGAACCCCCUCUGCGUUGAAAUUUUCCUCGAAAAAAGAUCUCUUCUGCCAGAAUAUCUUUCGUGCUUUUUGACUACUUUGAAAAGUGGAUCCUGAAAACGACGGAGUACACAUAAGCAGCCAAGGCUGACCGAGCCGAGGGACUCCUACGCCUCCGGGAUACGGAUACCUCACUCAUCACCUUCUGUGAUAAGUAACUCACGUUCGGAUAAGUGAUUCCGCGGACCGAACAAGUCUUCACGUUCGGAAGUUCUUCUGCCGAAGCGAUCCUUCGAGCCUUCUCGACUGAGUCGGUGACAGAGCCUCAUGGACGGGUAAAAGUGCGCGUAAGCGGCAAGGCCGACCGAGUCGAGGGACUCCUACGCCUCCGGGAUACGGAUACCUCACUCAUCACCUUCCGCGAGAAGCAACUCUCGCUCGCACAAACAUCCCUGUUACUGACAAAAAAGUCCAGAUACUCGAAAUAGGAGGAAAAGAGACGCAGCUUUACAACACAGCGAGGGUGUGUGUUCUGGCCUCGGCGGCCGCAGGAGACACACGCUACAAGACAAUCUGAUCCUGCAGGCUCAGGUCUUGACGCUGGAAGGGAGCAGCAGCACCUUCGGCAUCGACAACACUUUCAGCGAGGUCCGACCUAGCCUCGGACGGCAACGCGGUCCGAAGAUCUCCACUCCGAAGGACGACGUCAUCGCCAUGCCCGGGCCAUCGCUGCCAGGGUCUCCUCCGGGAACCCGGCCCGAGCGGGCGGCUCGGCUGGUCACCCCGGGGCCUCGGCCAGCCGUCCUCCGAGGGCGCCAGCCCGACCCGAGGCUUCGGCUGGUCAACUUCGGCGUCAGUCCCGCUAACGGACGACCCGGCUAGGCUCCGGCCAACCAGGUUUCAUUUUCGAGCCAACUCUGCCCCUGUUCAUGUUGAUAUCGCUACCCCUGGCCUCGGCUCAUCCAAGAGCGGCCAAGGGGUCCCUUAAACUAAGCUAGAGGAGCCUCGGACAACAAGGCCGACCGAGCCGAGGGACUCCUACGCCUCCGGGAUACGGAUACCUCACUCGUCACCUUUACACGGGGCGACUCACGCUUGGUGAAGCGGUUCAGACAACCAACAGGCGAGUCUUAGUGCUCGAAAAUGAGGAAAAAACACGGCUCCGUGCCAAAAUUACAUACAUGUUCAGGCCUCGACAGCCACAAUGAACAAAAACACUAGCAUUCAAAGUGCCAUUACAAACGGAACUCUGGUUCCGCCCCCGCGGGUAUGAACAACCUCGAGCCUGCGGGGCGACGAACACCGGGGGGCCCGCCAGUGACCUCUGCAGCAGCAACCAUGGUCCCAGGUUGGACGCGACCGCCGGAGGGCUCUCGUUCGCGUUCCCGCUCAAGGGACGCGAACCAGCUAUUAAAGCCAAAGAGUGGGCCGCUCCCAAGCGCACCGACAGGUCCUCGCUGCCGUCCUCGCCGCGAAUGCAAGGAAGAGGGCGGAAUGUUGCAUCCUAGCUGGGCAGCAACAGUUCGCCUUCCCUGGCAUGGCUGGAGGACGUUUCCUCCGCAGAGCUGGAGGGUGAUUGCCACCACCAGAAGCUGGAAGAAGAGGUGGCCUGCCGACCCGCGCAGGAGGUAGAGCCCCGGCUUGCCUCGCUCCCCGCCCCAGCGAGGAUGACGAACACCCUCGACGCUGAGGGCGGGAUUGAGAUCACAACCCGGCUUGCCUCUCCCCAUCCAGGAGCUGGAGGUCACCGUCUUGGGUGACCACCAGCGGAGGGGUGCAACCGGGCUGUGUGAUGAAAAUCCUUGAAGCCGAACGAUGGCUGAAAGGUACCAACUCCCACGGAGUUGCGUUCCCCCGACGACAAGGCAGAAAGACGGCGGGCAUCCCCCAUCCGGGGGCUUGGAAGGUGGAAAGACACGAUGCAUAAGGGAGCACGAAGACAUGGUCGCCUUCCAAGGGGGUCACCCUCCUUUUAAAGGCGACUAUCCCUACUUGCGUCCCCAGCCGUCACGGCUGAGUCUUCUCCAACACGCUCCAAGGCCCUCCCCUGCGGCACGGGGGCUGGGUCCCACACGUCAUGCAAGCCGGCUCAGAGCAGAAGAAGCCAAACCGCCGUGCGCGGUGCGCACAACCGCCCAGCGAUUACAAGUGACCCUCCACUUUUGCCUAGACCAACGGGCGAAAGGGGCGGGCAGCCAUGCAGGCGGCAUGCAACCGCGCCAAGUGGGCGCGCUUCUCCGACUCCCAACACGCCCAGCCUGGAGGCCCAGGCCCACGCGUCAUGCAACCGGCGCGCCGAAUGCUUCGUGCAUGCAACUGCACCGCCGCUUGCGCCACCACCGCGCCUCCUCGAUUGCGGAACCAAUACCGCGACUCGAGGCGACCCAGCGCACGACCCAGCAGCGCCAGCCUGGCGCGGCGGUCAGUGCGGCCAAAAAUGGGCCGGCAGUAAUGACGGUGGCAGGCGGGCAGGAGCAGUGGUCACGUCGUCAGCCAAGCUCAUGUCCCAUCCGGGGGCAGCGAGAGAACCCUCCCUCACGGCGUGAAGACAACGCGCCCAUGUUCCGUUCCUCGAACGGCUCGCGCACGCGCAACGGCCGCCCCGCCAACCACUCGCCCCGUCGCAUUAACUUCGCGGCGGGACAGGCGGCGCCUCUGGCAGGAGAAGCGGGCGACGCUUCGCCUUCGCCAUAAUAACCACGCCAAAAAAGGUACGCCGCGUCGUUCGAUUUCGUAUCCUUUUCCUUUUUUCUCUUUCUCUCUCUUGCAACAGGGACCGGGAAAGGGGGAUACCCCGAAAAGGAUCCUUCCCCGUGAAGAAACCAGGCUCCGAGCCUCCCUACUGAUCAGAGGUUCGAAGGCUGGCCCCCCGGAAGGGUUCGACAGCCGCCUCAGAUCGCGUGGGCCCUACACCCACUACUGGUCAGAGGUUCGAAGGCCGGCCCCUCGGAAGGGUUCCACGGCCGCCUCAGGCUACUCGGGCUCCGCGCCCAUUACUGAUCAGGGGUUCGAAGGCUGGCCCCCCGAAGGGUUCACAGCCGCCUCAGACGCCGAGCGAGGGAUGACCAUGGGUACGUUCGAUACAUAACCAAGGCUCGGGCUGCGCUCCCGAGGUACCCUAGGACAUUUCCGAGACUAGCGGGAGCGAUCUUGUAAUGGAAUCCCAUCAGAGGGAGGCAUCGAGCCCUCGGACCCCGUCGCCAGGGGACCGGGUUCGGCAGAUCACCCGCAGGUACUUUUGGGCGUGCCUCUGGGCCCCUAGCCGACCCCUAACGAACGGGGCACGGACGUCCACUCGGAUUACCCGCUUGCAGCUCACCGGAGACACCAUGUUCGGCGCCCAUCGAGGGCAACAUGGCACUUUCCCCCCUCCUCCUUGCGGAAAGGCGACGCAGGGGCGUAUGUAAAAAAGCCGAGUCUGUCCCUGAUCGCCCUCUCGCCCUGUGCAGAGGCUCGGGGGCUGCUCUCGCAAACCCGGCUCCGGCCGAACCGUUGACAGCGUCAACAUACCAGCCCGAGAGCUUGGGACCCAACCGUACACCCGGGCUACGGCCAGCUCGCAUGAGGGAACAACCAGACCAGCCGAAGCAUUACGCGAGGCAUUAAGACCUCGAAGGAGUGAAACCACUCCUCCGAGGCCUCGGGGGCUACACCCGGCGGGUGCGCUCGCGCGCACCCACCGGAACAAAACGCAACCGAGAAAGGCUGGUCCCCUUGCAAAAAAGUGCGACGAAAGCCACCAAGCGAGUGCUAACACUCCCUUCGAGGCUCGGGGGCUACUGUCGGGGACCAUAAUUAGGGGUACCCACAAGGCUCCUAAUUCUCAGCUGGUAACCCCCAUCAGCAUAAAGCUGCAAAGGCCUGAUGGGUGCGACUAAGUCAGGGAUCAGUCCAUUCGAGCGACUCGAUCACGCCUCGCCCGAGCCUAGCCUCGGACAAGGGCAGCCGACCCCGGAGGAUUUCCGUCUCACCCGAGGCCCCCCUCCGACGGCGAACAUAUUUCCGGCUCGCCCGAGGCCCCGCCUUCGCUAAGAAGCAACCCUGACCAAAUCGCCGCACCAACCGACCAAAUCGCAGGAGCAUUUAAUGCAAAGGUGGCCUGACACCUUUAUCCUGACGCGCGCCCCCAGCCGGCAGAGCCGAAGUGACCACCGUCACUUCGCCGCUCCACUGACCGACUUGACGGAAGGACAGCGCCGCCUGCGCCACUCCGACUGCGGUGCCACUUGACAGAGUGAAACUGACAGGCAGCCAGGCCCUGCCGAAGGCAUCAUAGGAAGCUCCGCUUCGCCCGACCCAGGGCUCGGACUCGGGCUAAGUCCCGGAAGACGGCGAACUCCGCUUCGCCCGACCCAGGGCUCGGACUCGGGCUAAGUCCCGGAAGACGGCGAACUCCGCUCCGCCUGACCCAGGGCUCGGACUCGGGCUAAGUCCCGGAAGACGGCGAACUCCGCUCCGCCCGACCCAGGGCUCGGACUCGGGCUAAGUCCCGUAAGACGGCGAACUCCGCUCCGCCCGACCCAGGGCUCGGACUCGGGCUAAGUCCCGGAAGACGGCGAACUCCGCUCCGCUCGACCCAGGGCUCGAACUCGGGCUCAGCCCCGAAAGACGGCGAUCUCCGCUCCGCCCGACCCAGGGCUCGGACUUGGGCUCGGCCCCGGAAGACGGCGAACUCCGCUCCGCCCGACCCAGGGCUCGGACUCGGGCUCAGCCCCAGAAGACGACGAACUCCGCUUCGCCCGACCCCAGGGCUCGGACUCCGCCCUGGCCUCAGCCAACGGCCUCCGCCUCGCCCGACCCAGGGGCUCGGACUCGGCCUCGGCCACGGAAGACAGACUCGACCUCGGCUUCGGAGGAGCUUCCACAUUGCCCAACCUAGGGCGCAGGCCAGCCACGUCAACAGGAGGCGCCAUCAUCACCCUACCCCGAGCUGACUCGGGCCGCAGGGAACAAGACCGACGUCCCAUCUGGCUAGCUCCGCCAGAUAGGCAAUGAUGGCGCCCCGCGUACUCUGUGACGACGGCGGCUCUCAGCCCCCUUACGGAAGCAAGAGGACGUCAGCAAGGACCCAACCGCUCCGACAACUGUCCCUCCGCCAGGCUCCAUCGCUCCUCCGACGGCCACGACAUCACACCAGCUGGGUGCCAAAAAUCUCUCCGGCUGCCACAACGGCAUGUACUUAGGGCACUAGCUCUCCUCCGCUAGACACGUAGCACUCUGCUACACCCCCCAUUGUACACCUGGAUCCUCUCCUUAUGCCUAUAAAAGGAAGGACUAGGGCCCUCUUAGAGAGGGUUGGCCGCGUGGGGACGAGGACGAGACAGGCGCUCGCUUGGAGCCGCUCGCUCCCUCUCCCGCGUGGACGCUUGUAACCCCCUACUGCAAGCGCACCCGACCUGGGCGUGGGACGAACACGAAGGCCGCGGGAUUCCCACCUCUCUCACGCCGGUCUCCGACCGCCUCGCUCUCCCCCCUUCGCACUCGCCCUCGCGCUCGACCCAUCUGGGCUGGGGCACGCGGCGACAUUCACUCGUCGGCCCAGGGACCCCCCGGUCUCGAAACGCCGACAGCUGUCGAUAAUCCAGCUUGAACACCCGGAUGCAUAAACCUGCAAGGCAAAUUUAGGCUUGGGACUUAGGUACCCAACUCUUGUUGGGUCCUACAAGGUUAGUCACAAUUGUCUUAGGGACCCAAAUGCAAGUUUUAUCACCCUUGUAUUUUGCCCCUAAUUUCCUAGCAACUAUCUUCCUAUCCUUUCUACAAAUAGCAAAGGAAGCAUUUAAAGCACGAUAAAUUGUAGAAGGACCAUUCAUAACUUUCCUAGAAACAUGAACAAUAUUCUUUCUAGGCACAUGAUGAACAUAACUCCUAGACAUAUCUCUAUUAUGCAUAUAAGAGGAACUAGAAGCAAACAUAGCAUGCGAAUCAUAAGCAUGUGAAUCAUAACUUCUAUAGUCAUUCUUAGCAUGUCUCCUAUUAUGAUACAUAAAAGCAUGGUUCUUUUUAGUACUACUUGCCAUAGAAGCCUUCCCUUUCUCCUUGGCGGGGAUGGGAACCUUAUGGCUUGUUAAGUUCUUGGCUUCCCUCUUGAAGCCAAGUCCAUCCUUAAUUGAGGGGUGUCUACCAAUCGUGUAGGCGUCCCUUGCAAAUUUUAGCUUAUCAAAUUCACUUUUGCUAGUCUUAAGUUGGGCAUUAAGACUAGCCACUUCAUCAUUUAACUAGCUGGAUGCCCGUGCGUUGCAACGGAAAUAUAUAAAACCAGUAUACUACGAUAACUUAUAUACAAAAUCUGUGUUAUAUUGUUAUGAGAAAAUGUUUCAUAAUCAAUUUGUGAUCCUAGCCAUACAUAAAUUUUGUUAUUUUAAUCUAGUUAUUUCACCACUACAUUGCAACCAUCAGUAUCAUGCAGACUUCGAUAUAUGCCACGAUUUGUAUGGUCUCAUCAUUGGAGAGCACGUUCCACACAUGCCGGAAAAAUUCCCUCGUACAUCGUUAGUCAUCAGACACGCACCACCAUAUGCUCUUGCUUAAACAAAAAGGUAAGUGUGUAUGUGUUUGCAAAGAGAAUUAAAGGCAGGCCGGCAAAAAAGCUACCCUGACGGUGGCGAGGAUGACGAACUGGUCACUGUUGUCGAUCCUCCUCUGUGUCACCUCUGGCGCCAAGAUGACGCCACAAUCCUCGAUAUAGUAGUCGUCGAACGCACGCGACAUGAUGAGUACCGAUGACUCUUGGUUGGGCUGCCCAACGAAGUGCACCCCAGGCUCAUCAGCGAGGUAGUACCCCUGGCCGUUGCACCACCAGAUGCGCUAUUCCACUACAUACAUCAUGUUCGAGGACAAUCACACAACAUCAGCAACGUCCAUCGUCCCAGCGCACAAGAAUUCAUGUCCGGUCAGUAGCGACUUACGUGGCAGGUUGGGCUUCAGGUGGACGAUGAGUUGGACGACGUGAUGGCGUCGUCGUCGGAUGCGGUGUCCAGAACAACCCGAGAGUCGUCGACGUUGGCGACAACCAUGAGGCCCUUCUGCUUAACGACGGACAGCGCGGUGCAGCUGCUCUGUACCGCGUCCAAGCGGCGGCUUCGCGGGAGCUUGUCGUACACAGCGGCGCAUGCGACCACGUAAGACUGCUUUUAGAGGUCGAACUAAUAGUCGUCAAGCUUCUUCUCGUCAUCGAUGAGCGACGACAACGCGAGUGCCUCCUUCUCAUGGAGUUUGUUCGGGGUUUGAAGUAGGAAACAUGAAUUCAUGCUUGGCGUUGGUUUAUGAAAAUGACUCACAAGUCUGAUCCAUGGAAAAAAAAUAUUACGAAGAAAAAAUUUCACACAUGCAAAAAAGGGAAUUUAAGUAUAAUGCAUUAUUCAAACAAAAGAAAUAGCAUGCAAAGCUCUUCUUUAAAUAAUAUUACCUCCAUCCAAAAAUAUAAUUCAAGAAUAUCGGUGAUACUAUAUUGUUAUGUGAAAAUGUUUCGUAAUUAAUUUGUGAUCCUAGCCAUACAUAAAUUUUGUUAUUUCAAUCUAACUAUUUCAUCACUACAUUGCAACCAACAGUACCGUGCAGACUUCUAUACAUGAUAGCUGAAUGCCCGUGCGUUGCAACGGGAAUAUAUAAUACCAGUAUACUACGAUAACUUAUAUACAAAAUAUGUGUUAUACCGUUAUGAGAAAAUGUUUCAUAAUCAAUUUGUGAAUCUGGCCAUACAUAAAUUUUGUUAUUUAUAAUCUAUCUGUUUCACCACUACAUUGCAACCAUCAGUAUCAUGCAGACUUUGAUAUAUAUCACGAUUUGUAUGGUCUCAUUAUUGGAGAGCACGUUUCACACAUACCGGAAGAAAUUCUCUCAUACAUCGUUAGUCAUCGGACACGUACCACCAUACGCUUUUGCUUAAACAAAAAGGUAAGUGUGUGUUUGCAAGACUAAUGGUCAAACAUCGUAUAACCAUAAAGUUAGAAUACUAUAUUAAAUAAAUUAAUCCAAUAGACAUAGAUUAACCCAAUUAACAUAGGAUAAAUAAAUAUCUAAUUAUAAAAGUAUGAAACAUGGUAUAAUCAAUGUUGUUACUGCGUAGUAAAUAUUCAUACGAGACUAACACAACUGGAACGAUUCAAUUUGGAAUUAAAAUGGGGAAGUUACGAAUUUCCAAAGUUUCUAUGUAUUUGAUAUAGGAUUAAUUAGAAAAUCAAUUUUAUUGUUGCUUUCAUGACAAAACAGAGGUAUUAUGUGAUAAAAAUAAUAUUAUAGAAUUAUAGAAAUUGGAAUGAACUCAUUUGAAUUUAAUAUGAAAUUUCCAUGAAUUAAAUGGGUUUCUGCAAUUAUUUUUAAACUAAAAAUCAAUUUAUAAACUCCUUUUCCCUAUUUUCUUUAUUUCCUGGACUGCGUCCCAAAUUCCAGAAAGAUCAGGGGCCAAGCUAUAAAUGUUUUUCUAAACUCAGUGAGCAUACAGAGUGGACGGUGGGUUAAACACAAAAGAUGUCUUAGUUGAAGUUGUACAUAAUUCAAUAUGAGUCAUGUUGGCUAGAGGGUGGAAGGCUAGGCAUUUUGCUCAAUAGAUCCAAGGUUCAAUCCCUAGGUAGCCACGGUUUAAUUUUUUUUCUGCGCGCGGAACCGGGGAGGGCAGAACGGCAGACUACUCUUACCUUCUUAAUAAGUAGUAUAGAUUUGGAAAUUGAAACUAGGUGUUCACUACAAGCAUCAAUGUCAAAAUCCUUACACCUAUUACAAGUUGCAACAAUUUCUACACAAGAUGUUGAUUUACUAGCUAUUUCUAACUUAGCAUUCAAAUCAUCAUUAAUGCUUCUUAAGUUAGAAAUUGUCUCAUGGCAAGAAGAUAAUUCACAAGAAAGCAUUUCAUUUCUUUUAACUUCUAGAGCAUGAGAUUUUUGUGCUUCUACAUAUUUGUCAUGUUCUUCAUACAACAAAUCCUCUUGCUUUUCUAAAAGCCUAUUCUUAUCAUUCAAGGCAUCAAUUAAUUCAUUAAUUUUAUCUACCUUGGUUCUAUCUAGGCCUUUAAAUAAACAUGAAUAAUCUAUUUCAUCCUCAUCACUAGAUUCGUCCUCACUUGAAGAAGCAUAAGUAGAGUUUCGAGUACAUACCUUCUUCUCCCUUGCCAUAAGGCAUGUGUGACGCUCGUUGGGGAAGAGGGAUGACUUGUUGAAGGCGGUGGCGGCGAGUCCUUCAUUGUCGGAGUCGGAAGAGGAGCAAUCCGAAUCCCACUCCUUGCCUAGAUGUGCCUCGCCCUUUGCCUUCUUAUAGUUCUUCUUAAUAAGUAGUAUAGAUUUGGAAAUUGAAACUAGGUGUUCACUACAAGCAUCAAUGUCAAAAUCCUUACACCUAUUACAAGUUGCAACAAUUUCUACACAAGAUGUUGAUUUACUAGCUAUUUCUAACUUAGCAUUCAAAUCAUCAUUAAUGCUCCUUAAGUUAGAAAUUGUCUCAUGGCAAGAAGAUAAUUCACAAGAAAGCAUUUCAUUUCUUUUAACUUCUAGAGCAUGAGAUUUUUGUGCUUCUACAUAUUUGUCAUGUUCUUCAUACAACAAAUCCUCUUGCUUUUCUAAAAGCCUAUUCUUAUCAUUCAAGGCAUCAAUUAAUUCAUUAAUUUUAUCUACCUUGGUUCUAUCUAGGCCUUUAAAUAAACAUGAAUAAUCUAUUUCAUCCUCAUCACUAGAUUCGUCCUCACUUGAAGAAGCAUAAGUAGAGUUUCGAGUACAUACCUUCUUCUCCCUUGCCAUAAGGCAUGUGUGACGCUCGUUGGGGAAGAGGGAUGACUUGUUGAAGGCGGUGGCGGCGAGUCCUUCAUUGUCGGAGUCGGAAGAGGAGCAAUCCGAAUCCCACUCCUUGCCUAGAUGUGCCUCGCCCUUUGCCUUCUUAUAGUUCUUCUUCUUCUCCCUCUUGUUCCCUUGAUCCUGAUCACUAUCAUUGUCGGGACAGUUAGCAAUAAAAUGACCAAGCUUACCACAUUUGAAGCAUGAGCGCUUCCCCUUUGUCUUGGUCUUGCUUGGCUGCCCCUUGCGACCUUUUAGCGACGUCUUGAAUCUCUUGAUGAUGAGAGCCAUCUCUUCAUCAUUAAGUCCGGCCGCCUCAAUUUGUGCCACCUUGCUAGGUAGCAUCUCCUUGCUUCUUGUUGCCUUGAGAGCAAGAGGUUGAGGCUCAUUGAUUGGACCAUUCAAUGCGUCGUCCACGUAUCUUGCUUCCUUGAUCAUCAUUCGCCCGCUCACGAAUUUUCCAAGUAUCUCCUCGGGCGUCAUCUUGGUAUACCUGGGAUUCUCACGAAUAUUGUUUACAAGAUGAGGAUCAAGGACAGUAAAAGACCUUAGCAUUAGGCGCACGACGUCGUGGUCCGUCCAUCGCGUGCUUCCAUAGCUUCUUAUCUUGUUGACAAGGGUCUUGAGCCGGUUGUACGUUUGGGUUGGCUCUUUUCCCCUUAUCAUAGAGAAUCUCCCGAGUUCGCCCUCCACCAACUCCAUCUUGGUGAGCAUGGUGACGUCGUUGCCCUCAUGUGAGAUCUUGAGAGUGUCCCAGAUCUGCUUGGCAUUGUCCAAGCCGCUCACCUUGUGGUACUCAUCCCUGCACAAUGAGGCUAGCAACACAGUAGUAGCUUGUGCGUUUUUAUGAAUUUGCUCAUUGAUAAACAUGGGGCUAUCACUACUAUCAAAAUGCAUUCCACUCUCCACUAUCUCCCAUAUGCUAGGAUGGAGAGAGAACAAGUGACUACGCAUUUUGUGACUCCAAAAUCCGUAGUCCUCUCCAUCAAAAUGAGGAGGUUUACCAAGUGGAAUAGAUAAUAAAUGAGCAUUUGUACUUUGAGGAAUACGAGAGUAAUCAAAAGAAAAGUUUGAAUUAACCGUUUUCUUUUUCUCGUAGUCGUCGUCGUUGUUGUCCUUUUGAGAAGAAGUGGACUCAUCGCUGUCGUCGUAGUAAAUGAUCUCCUUGAUGCGUCUUGUCUUCUUCUUCCCAUCUUUGCGUCUGUGGCCCGAGCCCGAGUCGUUAGGCUUGUCAUCCUUUGGCUCGUUGACGAAGGACUCCUUCUCCUUGUCGUUGAUCACGAUUCCCUUCCCCUUAGGAUCCAUCUCUUCGGGCGGUUAGUCCCUUUCUUGAAGAGAACGGCUCCGAUACCAAUUGAGAGCACCUAGAGGGGGGGGGUGAAUAGGUGAUCCUGUAAAACUUGAAACUUAAGCCACAAAAACUUGGUUAAGUGUUAGCACAAUAAUGCCAAGUGGCUAGAGAGGAGAUCUUGCACAAUACGAUAACCACAAAGAGUCCAACACAGAGAAGACACAGUGGUUUAUCCCGUGGUUCGGCCAAGUACAAAACUUGCCUACUCCACGUUGUGGCGUCCCAACGGACGAGAGUUGCACUCAACUCCUCUCAAGUGAUCCAAUGAUCAACUUGAAUACCACGGUGUUUUGCUUUUCUUUUCUUAUCCUGUUCGCGAGGAAUCUCCACAACUUGGAGCAUCUCGCCUGUUGGGGACUUGUUCUCAAAUGCUUCGAAUUAAGAACAAGGCAACACAGAAAAUGUUAAGUAUUAAGGUCCUUCGUCCUUCAUAACGAUAUAUCCCUUCGGGAUAUAUAGCAUCUCGGACGAAGGUUACAAAGAACAUACCUUCGUAAGCAUAACAACGAAGAAUAAAGCAUUCACAUAAAUCAUGAAAUAAACAUGUAAAUAUUAUCAUAGAAUUAUCUCUACUUGUAUUAAUGAAUAUAAAUGACUUUGAAGUACAAAUGUACCUUCGGUCUUGCGGAAGGCAAAAAGUACGAAUGUGAUGCGAAGGCCAAAAGCAAGUUCGCGUGAACAGUACAGAGGUACUGUUCAUCUAUUUAUAGACACAGGUCGCAGCCUGUGACAAAUUACAAUUAUGCCCCUUGCGGAAGUUUACAGCAUUGACUCGGACAUACAUGUAUAAAAAGGUCAUUCUGCCUCUAUGUCGGUUUAAAACGCCGAAGCUCCAUGAAAAGGGACCUUCGGCCAUCUCUUAGAAACGACUUUGGCCGAAGCUGCUUCUUCGUGUGAGACCUUCGGCAUACCGAAGCACGACCCCAACAGUAGCCCCUUUCGCGGUGCUAGAUCGUUCUUCGUAACGAGCUUGGCCCGUGAAAAAAAACCUCUUCAGCUUCGGGAAGCCGAAGGUCCAAAAAACACCUUCCCUGAGCUCGUUGCGGAGAAACGAUCCGACUUCCGAGCGCGUGCCAAGCCCACUUUGUAGAGUUAUUGUUUGGUCUUUGCGGUCCACUGCACAGCGGGUAUGAGUUACUGCGCGCCUGGUGUAACAGUUCCACCGCUUCGCCUUCCUACCUGCAGCACUAUAUAAACAAACAGGUGGGUGUGAAGUUACCACAGCAUUCAUUGCUAUUUGCACUGUUUCGCUGCCAAAAUUUUUCACCAUAGCCGAAGCUUAAGUCUCAGAAUCGAACGAAGGUGCUUCUCAACGUCCGCUUCGUCAGAAAGAAGAGCUUCGAAGAAAAGAAAAAAGGAAAAAGUUUUUGACUUCCCAAACUUAGAAUCAAAUGGCGAGAAUACGAUCUACUGCCAAAGUUGUACGUGAGGGAGACGAAGCCGAAGGUUCAGACACUGUGCCCAUCUCCGAAGCAAUGCAGCGUUCCGGUCUACUGACUACAGAAGAAAUGCCUGCUGCUGAAGCAGGCCCAACAACUGCCGAAGGAAAAGAAAACAUUGAAGGGACUGACUCCGAAGAUGACUAUCACCUUGCUAUGCCCAGCAAGCCCAGUCACCUGGAUUUUGGGAAAUCAACUGUUUCAAAAGCUGACCUUUCGAAGAUGGUGAAAGCAGGUUAUUUCAAUGAGGACCAGAAGAAGCUACUCCGCUUCGGGGAAGAAGAAACCACCCCGAAGCCAAGGAAGGAUGAGAUUGUUAUUUUCAAGAGUUUUUUAAAAGCCGGGCUUAGAUUCCCUCUCCACGAUAUUGUUGCGGAGAUACUAAGGAGGUUUGGUAUCUACUUUCAUCAAUUGACUCCUAACGCCAUCGUUAGGCUCAAUGUUUAUAUCUGGGCCCUCCGAAGCCAAGCUGUGGAACCAUUUGCUGACAGCUUCUGCCGAGCUCACGAAUUACAUUACCAAACAAAGGCCAGAAAAGAUGGGCUACAUGAUAAUUUCGGUUGCUAUAAUUUUGCCUACCGGAAGACAACAAAGUGUCCUGUCAUCAGCUACCGAAGCAAAUGGCCAGCAGGUUGGAAAUCUGAGUGGUUUUAUGUAAAAGUCGAUGAAGACAAAGAAAAAUUGGUACAAAGCCCUCUGGAGUUAAUCUUCGGAGAGACAAGGCCACAAUGCCGCAUUGGCGACCUAAAAGGUCCCACCUGGGCUGCUCUGGGUGAAUUUGAAAUUAUCUCAGAACAUAUUGGCACCAGGGAUCUAGUUCAAGAGUUCUUGGCAUUCAGAGUUUUCCCUACUCUAAAAGAGUGGGAGAUGCCGAAGCUGGAGGGAGAGAAGAAGAAGGGGGAGCUUGUCCGGCUUCCCUAUUACUUCAAGUUCAAGAAGUUCUUCAAAAAACCCUGCAAAGAAUGGUUAGACACUGUUGAGGUGAUGUGCAACGAAAUCCUGGGGAAUUACUCCAAAAAAGAGGAUCAACUAAUGACAGCAGCCUUCGGUGCCCGACCGAAACGAAGGCUGAACCGAGUGCUUGACGCCCUAGGCUUCGAAUACCCAGACUACGAACAAUUGAACAAGGGCGCCGAGGGCCUCAAAAGAAAGAGAGUAGCCGAAGCUCUGAUCAGGGAUGAAGAAAUACCAGCAAAGGAGAAGAAAGUUCUCAAGAAAAGAAAAAUAUCUGCUCCGAAGCGCAAAUCACCCGAAGAAGAGGAGACCCCCACACCGCCUUCUACCAGCGACGUGGAGGAAAUUUUAAAGGUAAUGACUGAACCCAUGCCUACGAAGCUAAGUCCACUAGGGCUCCAACUGACGAAGCUUUUUGAAAAGGUGGACGAGCCGGAUCAACCGAAGAUAAACAAACCCAAACGGCAAAGAAUUAUUGCGGUAACUGAGGUUAUCGACAAAACUCCACCUAGGUUGUCAAUUCAGAAAGCGGCAGCUGCUGAAGGUAGAGCUUCGGAAGUCGCGGCUACCGAAGCUGCCACACCCGAAGAUGUAAAUUUAGAAACUACUCUUGAAAAUAUUGACAAAAUUUUGACGGAAAACAUUGAAGAAGCUGCCACCGUUACUGAAGAAAUCCUGGCCACAGUGCCAGGGAAAGGGAAAGAAAUAGUCGAAGAAACUCCGGACGACGAAGCCUAUUCUUUCCAGAAUCUAAUUGGGCAGAAACUGACGAAGGACGAAAUAGAAGAACUCAAAGACUAUGCCAAAUCUUGCGGCUACAAGCCAGGAGCCCUUCUAUUUGGGGGUGUAGAUGAUGAAAAACUAGGCUGUAUUCGAGACCAGACUGGAGCUAAGGUAAUCUGUACUCUAUCGAAGAGUAUCGGUUUUCCGAAGUUAGAGACAGACAUCAGCCGCUACCGACGACAACAUAUCGUCGGCAGCUUGUUUUAUUCUAACUUCAAGGUAAACAACCUUUUUCUCUGGUUUUUAUUGCUGUUAACAAUGAAAAUAUUACUUAACAUAAGUUGUUUCUGUUCAGAGCAUGCUACUGAGCAAAGCUCUGAAGAUGCAACAAGACUUGGAGAACAAAAAGCACGAAGCUAUAAUUGAAAUCUUGGAAAGCAAAAUAAAAGAGCAAUCUGCCAUCAUUGAAAAGAAAGACUUCGAGCUCCAAUCGACCGAAGGCUUGCUGGCUGAAACUGAGGCUAAAAUAUUAGAGUUAAAUUCGAAGCUUAUCAAUCAAUCAAAACAAUUUGAUCAGGAGAAGCUAGAACUGAAUUCGAAGCUUAAAGCCGAAGUCCAGACCAGCUCAGAAUUGAAGAAAGCAUUAACAAGCCUUCAAGACAAAUGCUUGAACUUUGGCAAUAAUUGUAUUGGACGAUUAAAGAAGAUAUUUUACUCUGUUGGAGCCAGCAGUGGGAAAUUUAACCCUUCGGCGGAAAAUUUACCCCAGGCCUUCGAUCAUAUUGAAGCUGAAAUCGAAGAGCUUGACGAAGUUAUAGCCGGGCACGGCGACUUCUGUGCCUGGGUGGCUUCUCGGGGUACCGCUGCUGCAUUUCUGAAGGCCGGCUGCGAACAUGGAAAGGUUGUCAACAGGCCCAACUUCACCUUAUCUUCAUCAAUCCUGGAUGAUAUGCCCGACCUCGCCCGAAGUAUCUCCAAUAGAUUUAUAAAAAUGGUAUGGACAAAGGGCGGGCGAGAGAAAGCUGGAGACGAAGCCCGAAGUCAUCUUGAACCAGUAAGAAAUGACAUUUCGUGCUUACCUUUUCCUUUGGGCUUGAUUCUUAUGAUUCCUUGACUCAUGUAGGAUGACGAAGGUGAAGAUGAUGCCUAGGAUAUGUCGCCGAAGUUGUCGUCGAAGCUGAAGCUUAAUGAAGACUAGCAGAAGUGUGCUUUAGAAAAACUCAGGAUAAUUUUGUAACAACUCUUGUAAAUAGAAUUAAACUAUUCUUCAAGGAACUUUGUACAUACCUUGUAAUAUAUUCUUACCCUUCGAUUAAGGUGCUUUGAUGUGGACGAAAUCAGUUUUUUGAGCCGAAGGCGAAAAAACACCUUCCCUUCUUUUCGUACACAACGAAGCAUAAAAGGCCGCUUCCUCUUUUUGCCGAAGCCUUUCCUUACAUAACAAAACAUAAAAGACUGCUACUCUUAUCUGCCGAAGCUUUUCCUUACAUAACAAAACAUAAAAGACUGCUACUCUUAUACACAACGAUUCAUAAAAAACCACUUCUUCGAAACCUUUCUUUUACAUAACGAAUCAUAACAAACCAUUUAUCCGAAACUUUUCUCUGUGCCGAAGCAACCAUUUAGGAACACAAAUGCUAUGAAUGAAUGCUUAUGCAUGCAAAUGCCAUGAUGUAAUGUGCAAAUGAAUGUCCGAAGCGUAUGUCCGAAGCCACACUCAUCCAUUAUUUUCUUAGGAGCAAACACACGUCAGCUCUGCAUUCCCUUAGGAACGACUUUGGAGCAUCUUUGCCUUUUACUUAGGCAGUAUCAGCGUUGACUUUUCGCUGUAAGCUCUGCAUCCCCCUAGGGACGUCUUUGGAGCUUCUUCGUCUUUUACUUAGACGGUAUAAGCUCUGCAUUCCCUUAGGAACGACUUUGGAGCUUCUUCGCCUUUUACUUUCGGCGGAAUCAGCGUUGACUUUUCGCUGUGAGCUCUGCAUCCCCUUAGGGACGUCUUUGGAGCUUCUUCUCUUUUUUAGUUUCGGCACUCGAUGGUGCGCUCUCAGCUUUUACAUUUACAUUCUUUGGGGGAUUUUGCUCUUAUAAAACUAAAAAGAAAAUUACAUAUGAUGGCCCCAUUAAAAACCUUUCUCCCCCUUUAGAAAGGAAAAGGGUGCCAUGAAAAAGAAAAGAAAAGUCAAAAUUACAUCGAGUUAUACAUAAAACCGCCGAAGCUCAUCCGCAUUCCAAGAUCUUGGAAUUUCAUUGCCAUCCAUGUCCUUCAGUCUGUACGAACCAGGCCUUGACGAAGAUGCUACUAAGAAAGGCCCUUCCCAUUUCAGUUGCAAUUUGCCCACUGUAUCCGGAUUGGCCACUCUCCGAAGCACCAAGUGUCCUGGCUCAAUAUUUUUUAGCCGGACCUUUCUAUCUCGCCAUUUAACUGUUUCAGCCUGGUACUUAUUGAUAUUCUCCACGGCCUGAAGCCUGAUCCCUUCUAAGGCAUCUUUUUCCACGAGACAAGUAUCUUCGGGACCUGAUUCUGCCGAAGCUACCACUCUUAUUGAUCCAGCUUUGGCUUCUUCCGGGGUUAUUGCUUCGUCACCAAAUAACAACUUAAAUGGGGUAAAGCCUGUAGAUCUUGAUGUUGUUGUGUUAUGGCUCCAUACCACUUUGGUAAGCUGAUCUGGCCACUUUCCCCUUGGUUGAUUAAAGAUUAGCUUCAUUAUUCCUGUCAUUAUGAUGCCGUUGGCCCUUUCAACAAGCCCAUUCGACUCCGGGUGCCUGACUGACGCAAAGUGGAUCUUCGUGCCAAUUUGAUCACAAAAAUUUCUGAAUUCUUCGGAGUCAAAUUGUGUUCCAUUAUCUACAGUUAUAGCCUUCGGCACUCCGAAGCGACAGACAAUAUUCUGCCAGAAAAAUUUUUGGACAGUGGCCGAAGUUAUUGUAGCUAAUGGCUUCGCCUCAAUCCACUUGGAAAAAUAUUCCACAGCAACUACAACAUAUUUCAGAUUGCCUUGAGCCGGUGGUAAUGGGCCCAGCAAAUCGAGGCCCCACCUUUGCAAUGGCCAGAUGGGUUGUAUUAGCUGUGUCAAAGACGAAGGUUGUUUUUGAUCUCUUGCACAUUUCUGACAACCUUCGCACUUUUGAACUAACUCAGCUGCAUCCGAAGCUGCCUUCGGCCAAUAAAAUCCUUAACGGAACACUUUUCCAAGUAACGGCCUGGAUCCGAUGUGGGAUCCACAAAGGCCUGCAUGUAUCUCCUUCAUCAACUCUAUACCUUCGGCUCUAGACAAGCACUUGAGCAGCGGGGCACAAACUCCAUGCUUGUAUAACUCCCCUUCUAUAAUGAUAUACGGACGAGCUCUUGCCUCUAUUCUUUUAUUAUAAGCUUCGUCAUCUGAUGGGAAGUUGCCCUGAAGGUAAGAAAUUAUUUCAGUUCUCCAAUCUUCACUGUACACAGGAGAAAUAGUAAGAACUGCUCUUUCAAGUAACUCCACUGAAGGUGCCUUUAUUGUUUCGAAGAAUACAUCCGAAGGUAGCGGCAGCCCCUGUGCUGCAGACCUGGCUAACAAAUCAGCAUGUUCAUUUUGCCCUCGAGGGAUAUUCUUAACAGAAAAUCCUUCGAAGGAAGCUUCGAUCCUUCGGACUGUGUCUAGGUAUUUUUCAAGCUUCGGGUCUUUAGCCUUGCAACUUUUGUCAAUAUGACCCGAAACAAUCUGAGAAUCAGUUUUAAGGAUCGCCCUCCUGAUCCCCAUCGCCUUUAGUUUCCGAAGACCCAGGAGCAAGGCUUCGUACUCAGCAAUAUUAUUUGUGCAGCUGAAGUCCAGUCUUGCUGCAUAGCAAGUUUUAACCUUGGACGGUGAAACCAAAACAGCAGCUGCUCCUGCUCCGAAGGUUCCCCAGGAGCCAUCACAAAACACUGUCCAUGCUUCGGCAUCUUUAUUCGCUUCUCCGCCCUGAGCCCCUGGCGUCCAGUCGGCAAUAAAAUCUGCCAAUGCUUGAGACUGGAUCGAGGAUCUGUGCACAUAAUCAAUGUAAAAUUCAUUAAGCUCCGCAGCCCAUUUUCCAAUUCGGCCAGUAGCUUCUUUAUUUCUCAUGAUAUCUUUCAACGGCUGCGAAGAAGGAACAAUAAUAUUAUAUGCCUGAAAAUAAUGCCGAAGCUUCCUGGAUGCCAUUAGAACGGCAUACAACACCUUCUCCAGUUCUGUAUAAUUUUUCUUUGAGACACUAAGGACCUCAGAUACAAAAUAUACUGGGACCUGCUUCUUGAUUUGUCCAUCAAACUUCUCCUGCACAAGUGCCGCACUUACUGCUGAGUGCGAAGCUGCCACAUACAACAACAGAGGAGCCCCUGGCAUUGGUGGAGUUAAUGUUGUUAGAUCUAUCAGGUAUUGCUUGAGUUCUUCGAAAGCUUUUUGUUGAGCUGGGCCCCAUUGAAAGACUUCAGCUGAUUUUAGCACCUCGAAGAAGGGUAGAUUUCUUUCCGCUGAUCUGGAUAUAAAUCUGUUAAGAGAAGCCAGUCUUCCUGUCAAUCUUUGGGCCCCCUUUCUUGUGGUUGGUGGCUCCAUUCGAAGUAUAGCUUCGAUUUUAUUUGGGUUAGCUUCAAUUCCCUUUGUUGAAACCAAGCAUCCAAGGAACUUACCCUUCUUUACUCCGAAGACACAUUUUUCUGGAUUCAGCUUCAGACCAGCUUGUCUGAAGCUGGCGAAGGUCUCCUGCAGAUCAGCAAUAUGGUCUUCUUGCUUCGUGCUUUUUACAAUAAUGUCAUCAACAUAGGUCAACACAUUUCUGCCUAUCUGAGAUUGGAGAACCUUCGCAGUCAUCCUGCUGAAACUCCCUCCAGCAUUCUUAAGCCCCUCAGGCAUCCGAAGAUAGCAAUAUGUACCACUUGGGGUUAUGAAACUAGUCUUCGGCUCAUCCUCCUUUUUCAUCCAGAUUUGAUGAUAACCUGAGUAACAAUCCAGGAGACUCAUGAGUUCCGAAGAAGCUGCUGCAUCAACUAAAGAGUCUAUCCUUGGCAGCGGGAACUCAUCCUUCGGACAAGCCUUGUUGAGAUCUGUGAAAUCAAUACACAUUCUCCACUUUCCAUUGGCCUUCUUCACCAUAACAGUGUUAGCUAGCCAUUCUGGAUACUUCACUUCUCUGAUAACUCCUGCACUUAGGAGUCUUUUUACUUCGUUGCGAGCCCCUUCGGCCUUGUCAUCAGACAUUUUCCGAAGCCUCUGCUUGCGGGGUCUGAAGGAUGGGUCAACAUUGAGCGAAUGUUCAAUAACAUCCCGAUUCACUCCACAAAGAUCAUUGGCUGACCAUGCAAAAACAUCUUUAUUGUUGAAUAAAAACCUUAUCAAGGUUUUCUCUUGAUCUUCAGAUAAUUGCGAGCCCAAUAGCACCUUCUGCUCUGCUAUAUCCUCACACAGCAGCAUGGGCUUCGGCUGAUCAGCCGAAGCUGCUUUUUCCCUCCUGAACUUGUACUGUCCACAAGCUUCAACUCCAUCUAUAUUAUGGAUUGCCUUGGAAUCAGUCCAGCUUCCUUCGGCCCUUCUGGCAGCUUCCUGACUCCCAUGAAUAGCAAUAGGCCCUUGGUCCGAAGGUAUCUUCAUGCAGAGAUAAGCUGGGUGAAGAAUUGCUUCAAAAGCAUUUAGGGUACCACGACCAAUGAUGGCGUUGUAGGGGUAUUCCAUGUCAACAAUAUCAAACACAAUUUGCUCAGUCCUUGUGUUAUUAACAAAUCCGAAGGUUACCGGCAUGGUAAUCUUCCCGAGUGCCACAAUCUGCCGCCCUCCGAAGCCACAAAGAGGGUGCGUAGCAUCAUGAAUCUUGUCUUCAGGCUCUUGCAUCUGUCUGAAGGCUUUGGCAAAUAUAAUGUCAGCUGCACUGCCUGUGUCAACUAGGACAUUGUGAACCAGAAACCCUUUGAUCACACAAGAAAUGACCAUAGCAUCAUUGUGAGGAUAGUCCUUGAGCUGAAGAUCUUCCUGAGAGAAGGUAAUUGGAAUGUGAGACCAUUUUGACUUAAUGAAGGGUCCCUGCACUCCAACAUGCUGUACCCUUCUCUGAGCCUCCUUCUUCUGCUUUUUGUUAGCUGGCUCUGAGCAAGAACCGCCUGUUAUCGGGAGCACCAGCUUCGAAGCCGAAGCAGCUCCAGCUUGAGUGUUGAACGAAGCCAUCAGCUCAGAAAGGUGGAAGUGAGUCGACCGGAGGUGGGCGCCAAUGUUGGGGACUUGUUCUCAAAUGCUUCGAAUUAAGAACAAGGCAACACAGAAAAUGUUAAGUAUUAAGGUCCUUCGUCCUUCAUAACGAUAUAUCCCUUCGGGAUAUAUAGCAUCUCGGACGAAGGUUACAAAGAACAUACCUUCGUAAGCAUAACAACGAAGAAUAAAGCAUUCACAUAAAUCAUGAAAUAAACAUGUAAAUAUUAUCAUAGAAUUAUCUCUACUUGUAUUAAUGAAUAUAAAUGACUUUGAAGUACAAAUGUACCUUCGGUCUUGCGGAAGGCAAAAAGUACGAAUGUGAUGCGAAGGCCAAAAGCAAGUUCGCGUGAACAGUACAGAGGUACUGUUCAUCUAUUUAUAGACACAGGUCGCAGCCUGUGACAAAUUACAAUUAUGCCCCUUGCGGAAGUUUACAGCAUUGACUCAGACAUACAUGUAUAAAAAGGUCAUUCUGCCUCUAUGUCGGUUUAAAACGCCGAAGCUCCAUGAAAAGGGACCUUCGGCCAUCUCUUAGAAACGACUUUGGCCGAAGCUGCUUCUUCGUGUGAGACCUUCGGCAUACCGAAGCACGACCCCAACAUCGCCCUUACACUUUUGAUGUUCACAGAGAAUCACGGAGUAAGGGAGGGAUGAGCAACGCACACAAGACUCAAAAAUCAGAGCAACAACACGCACACAAGUCGCAACAAGAGCUCGCAACACAACCCAAUGAGUUUACAACUCAACAAGAGCUCUAGAUGCUAUCACAAAGAAACAAAUGCGUGGAAUCGAAGUCUCGGUGCUUAGGAUUGCUUUGAGUAUGCUUGGUGUACUCCUCCAUGCGCCUAGGGGUCCCUUUUAUAGCCCCAAGGCAGCUAGGAGCCGUUGAGAGCAAUCUGGGAAGGCAAUUCUUGCCUUCUGUCGUCUGGCGCACCGGACAGUCCGGUGCACACCGGACACUGUCCGGUGCCCGAUUUCCUUCCUAAAAUGGCGCAGCCGACCGUUGUAGAUUUGGGAGCCAUUGGCGCACCGGACAUGUCCGGUGCACACCGGACAAUCCGGUGCCCCCUUCUAGCCGUUGGCUCGGCCACGUGUCCCGCGCAGAUUGCGCGGCCGACCGUUGGCCCGGCCGACCGUUGGCUCACCGGACAGUCCGGUGCACACCGGACAGUCCGGUGAAUUAUAGCCGUACGUCGUCGGUGAAUUCCCGAGAGCGGCCAGUUCGCUCGAGUCAGCCUGGCGCACCGGACACUGUCCGGUGCACCACCGGACAGUCCGGUGCUCCCAGACUGGGCAGAUUCUUGGCUGCUCGAGCCAAGACAUUUCCAAUUGGAUUUUUCAUGUUUCCAGCACUUAGACACAAUACAUUAGUCCAUAAAACAAUGUACUAAGUCUGAGAAACAUACCUUUAUCCUUGGUUUGUACUUUGUCCACCAUUUUACAUUUAAGCACUUGUGUUAGACACUAAAUCACCAAAAUACUUAGAAAUGGCCCAAGGGCACAUUUCCCUUUCAGGUACUAGUCUUGCUAGUGAAUGUGGUGAAGUGAUAUUGUGUCUGUGUGUCACCACUCGACAGGGCUUAUUGAAAUGACUUUGAAAUUUAGUUACCAAAAAAAGAGAACAAGCUAAAUUUAGUUACCAAAAAUGUGGCGAAGUGAUACUGUGUCUGUGUGUCACCACUCGCCAGAGCUUAUUGAAAUGACUUUGGAAUUUAGUUACCAAAAAAAAGAGAACAAGCUAAAUUUAGUUUCCAAAUAAAAAAGAGAACAAGCUCAGAGUAGCGAGUGUCAUCUCCACAAAGUUCAGAAGAUCGCAUCGGACCCACCGGUGCUAAUGCAUUUCAUCACAGCUUGUUAUACCCUUGUUAGUUAACCUUGAUGGCACGAUUUAUAUGCUCAGAUAGGGCUUGGUGUCUGGAUAGUGUGGUACUAGUCUUGCUAGCGAAUGUGGCGGAGUAAUAAUGUGUGUCACCACUCGCCACCGUGCUUUAUACUUAUUCAUCACAGCUUGUUAUACCCUUGUUAAUUAAUCUUGAUGGCACGAUUUAUAUGCUCAGAUAGGGCUUGUUGUCUGGACGGUGUGGUACUAGUCUUGUUAGUGAAUGUGGCGAAGUGAUAUUGUGUCUGUGUGUCACCACUCGCCAGAGCUUAUUGAAAUGACUUUGAAGUUUAGUUACAAAAAAAAGAGAACAAGCUAAAUUUGGUUACGAAAAAUGUGGCGAAGUGAUACGGUGUCUAUGUGUCACCACUCGCUAGAGCUUAUUGAAAUGACUUUGAAAUUUAGUUACCAAAUAAAAGAGAACAAGCUAAAUUUAGUUUCCAAAUAAAAAAGAGAACAAACUCAGAGUAGCGAGUGUCAUCUCCACAAAGUUCAGAAGAUCGCACCGGACCCACCAGUGCUAAUGCAUUUCAUCACAGCUUGUUAUACCCUUGUUAGUUAAUCUUGAUGGCACAGUUUAUAUACUCAGAUAGGGCUUGCUGCCUGGACGGUGUGGUACUAGUCUUGCUAGCGAAUGUGGCGGAGUAAUAUUGUGUUACCACUCGCCACCGUGCUUUAUACUUAUUCAUCAUAGCUUGUUAUAGCCUUGUUAAUUAAUCUUGAUGGCAUGAUUUAUAUGCUCAGAUAGGGCUUGUUGUGUGGACGGUGUGGUACUAGUCUUGCUAGUGAAUGUGGCGAAGUGAUACUGUGUCUGUGUGUCACCACUCGCUAGAGCUUAUUGAAAUGACUUUGAAAUUUGGUUAAAAAAAGAGAACUAGCUAAAUUUAGUUACCAAAAAUAUGGCGAAGUGAUACUAUGUCUGUGUGUCACCACUCGCCAGAGCUUAAUGACUUUGAAAUUUAGUUUAAAAAAAUAAACUCAGAGUAGCGUGCUAGCGAAUGUGGCAGAGUAAUAUUGUGUUACCACUCCCCACCGUGCUUUAUACUUAUUCAUCAUAACUUGUUAUAGCCUUGUUAAUUAAUCUUGAUGGCAUGAUUUAUAUGCUAAGAUAGGGCUUGUUGUGUGGACGGUGUGGUACUAGUCUUGCUAGUGAAUGUGGCGAAGUGAUACUGUGUCUGUGUGUCACCACUCGCUAGAGCUUAUUGAAAUGACUUUGAAAUUUGGUUAAAAAAAAGAGAACUAGCUAAAUUUAGUUACCAAAAAUAUGGCGAAGUGAUACUGUGUUUGUGUGUCACCGCUCGCCAGAGCUUAAUGACUUUGAAAUUUAGUUUAAAAAAACAAACUCAGAGUAGCGAGUGUCUUCUCCCCAAAGUUCAGAACAUUGCAUCUGACCCAUUAGUGCUAAUGCAUUUCAUCAUAGCUUGUUGUACGCCCUUGAGAUUAACCAUCACAGUACAGAUUAUAUGCUCAGGUAUCCUUGAUAUUUGGGCCAUGUGGUACUAGUGUUGCUAUUUGCUAGCGAUUGUGGCGGUGUCUGUCAGCACUCGCCAGCUUAGCCGCAUGGGCUCGCGCAGGAACCUCUAUUCUGUUUCUAAACCAUAUCGAGCCUUUAGUGGAGCGUUUCAUGGGCCAUGUUUUCAUGUGGUGGGCUAAACUGAAGCAGCGAGUCCACAAAGCAUCAGUUCAACCCGACGGCGACACUGCAUUGAGAUUGACAGCUAGCGGACUGAGAGUUUUCCUUCACAUGAUGAGUACAUGACAUGAUAGCGCAGUGAUAGCGCAGCUAGGGAUGAUGCAGAGGCUGGGCGCGGAGUGACGGCACAUACUGAGGCGAGUGGCAGCACCAGCGAGUCAUCUGCGGCGGCGGUGCUGGUGCGGGUGCGGUCCUGCCUCUGCUGCUCUGCAUGUUCGCAUGCCACCCUGCUCAGCGACGUGCGCCGGUCGAUGGUCUCCGCGAUCUGCCCGAACGUAAUGCAUAGCACGGGCACUGUCACGUCACGCAGCCUGCAGCAUGGCAAUGAUCAACCGGCACAGUCCCUGCGGCUGCGUGCGUCGAGCGAUCCCACACUCUCACGGUUGCUGCGGCCUGCGGUCGUCAAAGCAGUCGCACAGCCCGGUGGGCCAGGCGGCGACGGUGCACUAGCACUGCCAUGGAACGAUCACGUUCUUCUCUGCCGUGUGGGCUCAACGUCUCAGGUAGUCAGGUGUGCCUGGUUCGGAUAAGAUCGUCCAAGUCUGCCUAGAUACCGACGUUCAGUAGCGUAACAUGUUUUUUUCUUAAGACCAAAGACCAUUGUUCUCCGGAAACAUGAUUGAUCGAUGUACCACGACAUUAGGUCUGGUCUGGUACGGUCAUGGUCUUAUUAGUAAAGACAGAACCGUUGCGAGCUAGCCAAAAGGCUCGCAACAAAUGCAAGACAGCAGAAAAACCAUCUUAGGUCUCCUUUUCCUCUGCAGAAGGUUAGUGGUUGUGGGUGUUAAUUUCCAAAGAGGAGCGUCAUGGUAAGUAGUCCACUGUCCACCAGCAGCAUGUGUCCGUGGAAACAUGAAUGUUUCCCUGCCCACAUCAACGACCAUAGCAAAUAUCAUUGUGCGCGCGCGCGCGCAUGUAAAUUAAAUGGCAUGGUUUUGCUUAACUUCUCCGUAGACUGAUCCUCUGGUAGGUACUUUGUGUUGGAGUUGUUCAUCGAGUUGUUCAAUGUGGUCCACCAACCACUAUCAAAGUAGUUUGUGUUGGAGUUGAAUCUGUGAAUCCGCCUUCCUUGCAUCCUUUCCUUUUUGAGAAUUCUAAAACCUAAAUGUCAGUGGGCAUGAUAACAAUGAUGCAAAGACGCGCCUACCGAGUCCUUGCGGAUGGUAAUAUGAUAACAGCCACGUUUAAAUUUAUUCCAGUUAAUAGUUAUAUUCAAACAAUCUAGCUAAUAGUUUAGUUCGUUACCUACUUUUAGCAAAUUAGUUAAUAUUUAGGUAGCUAAAUUCACUAAUAUUUUUUUAGCUAUUAAUUAGCUCUAUUGCAUUCAAGUAUCCAUAACAUGGUUGAGGCGCCGCCCACAAGCCGAGGCAGUAUGGGGGUGUUCAGGGAUCAGGGUCUAUCCAAGCUAAUAAGCCAGUUCAAGUAGUAUCGUUAGGUAGCUUGCACACGUAUUUCCGGGAUCUUCACUUCGUUUUAAUGCAGAGCCUAGCCCACGAGCCACGAUGGCUGACGGCGUAGGAGAGCGGAGAGCCAAGCCGCAUGUGCACGCACUUUGAGAAUGCUUUUUAGUUUUUUUUUCGUUAUAUCUUCUACUUCCUCCGUUUUACAAAGAUGUCGUUUGACUUUUUUAUACCAAAUUUAAUCUGCUUGUCUUAUUUAAAAUAUUUAUGAAAAUAUAGAAAAAUUUAGUUUAUAGUUAAAGUAAAUAGUACGAUAAACUAAAUCAAAAUUAAAAUGAACGAUAAUUAUAAUUUUUUUAAAUAAAACAAGCCGGUCAAACUUGAUCUCAGAAAAGUCAAAUACAUUCUUUCUGUGGUACAUGGAGUAAAUGAAAGAUUUAAUCAGUCAGACCACCUAGUUAGGCCCCGUUUCAAUCUCACGGGAUAAACUUUAGCUUCCUGCUAAACUUUAGCUAUAUGAAUUGAAGUGCUAAAGUUUAGCUUCAAUUACCACCAUUAGCUCUCCUGUUUAGAUUAUAAACGGCUAAAAGUAGCUAAAAAAAAGCUGCUAAAGUUUAUCUCGCGAGAUUGAAACAGGGCCUUAGUAUAUGAGCACUAAGCAACACUGUUAUGUACAACCGGCCAAGUAGCGACCAUGAUGCUGUUCCUCUCCAUAGUUUAUCGUAUUGUAGCGCUAAGGCUACAAAAGGAAGACAAAAACCUAUCACAUUGCCACACUAACCCGCACUGAUGUUGAAACCGGACACAUUCUGCAUCACAAAUCUCGAAAUGGAUUUAAUAGUAUCUACCUUACCAGAAAAGCCUUACACAAAUAAAAAAAACGAUGGUGCAGUACCAAAGAAGCAUGAGCAUCCACAUUACGGCUUCAUUUGGAUUUGAAAACAUUUUGUUCUUGAAGGCGUACAAGAUUGCUGGGGCACUCCAGUUCUCGGAACGUCAAUGGCUUCGAAUAUCUUCCUUGGUCUAUAUAUUUCAAUGGCAGGGAGAUCCAAAUCUUCUGUAAAUGUCUGCCCACGUAUCAAUGGAUUCACAGAGAUAAUCAAUAUCUGGCACGCAAUUCAUUCAAAUACUGGACGUAUGUGGCAAAUGAUCAAGCCGCCCAUUCAAUAUUUGACGAGCUCGCGCGCUUCGGUACUGCAGCCGCUGGUGUAGCGCUUCUGACAUUUGUUCAAAAAAUUCGGGAUCCCAUCUCUGAAUCAAAAGGGGAUCCUCGGCAUAGCAUAUGUAUAUUGAUGUAACAGCACUUUCCACAACCACAACAGUUAGUCCAACCUGCAAAAUUGAGCAGACGUCAAUCUUGACAGAACUAGCAGAGAUUGUACUGUAUGAGAAAGAAAACUUGGACACGGUUUUCCUUUCCUUAGUUACUAGUCAUGCAAAUUCAUAUCGAGAUAUUGGCACUUACCAGUAUCAUACCCAUCAGCAUGGAUGUUGAACCAACCAUAACAGCUUUAUCACUUUGUUUGAAAUAUGUCCAAACGCCCAUGCAGGUUCCAGUAAUCAAUCCACCUAAAAUGGUGCUCAUUAGAAGGAUAGCACCUGAACAGUCAUAAGCAACAAGUGAUUCGAUGCCUGUGGAUUGAAACAGCUCCCAAGCAUCCCUAGCUGAGCGAUUGAAACUCUGUCCAUUAACUGCUAUCUGAAAAUGGCAAACUAUUUUUAGGGCAUUGAUUCGAUAGCAUGAUAUCAACAGUCAAUAUUUCAUACCAUGAAAUAUAGACAAAUUGUUACAAUAAUAAGUUUUCACAUUUCAAUAAAAGCAGCGAAUGGGUCACAAAUCACAUGCAUUUGUGCAAAAAUAUCCAGGCAAACUAAGGUACUUUGAUUGGCAGAAACUAAACCUUAUAGCUUAAAACAAUAAGAAAAACACUGUCAGUGUCAACAAACAAAUGAGAAAGAGAAAACAGCUGGAACAUGUAGUUUUUUCAAAUAGGCAUGGUCUACAUCUUGAAAACUACUGAAGAGAUAAACAUACUCACCUGUACAUAUGCAUAUUUGUUGAAGAAGCGAACAAGGGUCUCCACAAUAUGAAACAAAAAAUCAAUACAACAUAGCAAACACUCAUUGCUGCCAAUUUUAGAACGAAUUCCACGAAUCUGUAAGGUGUGAGGCAAAAAAGAUAAAGGCGAUGAGAACUAUAAAAAGGAAGCUAAAUGACAGAGGCUUUUCCACAUGUGCAAUUAUAAGUUUGCAAUUCUAUACGAGUCAUUAAAUAUGUUGACCAGUCAUUUGUGCCAUUUAUUCAAACUUUUUUCCUUCCAUGCCACUUCCAAUCGGAUUUGACUCCAAUAGCGUCAAACUGCGGUGGGAAAAGUCCAAAAUACACAUGUCUAAUGCAUCUUAGCAAUCUCAAAUGAAAAAAAAUCUCAAAGCUAGAAAGUUGUAGAUCUCAACGAGAUCAUUAAAACGCUAAAAAAAGUACAAAGUUUCAGCAACAUAUUCAUCACAUACAAACGCUUAUCACUUUAGUCAUAUCUUUUCUGUAAGCAGUCGAAUGAAGAUACUUUUCAUAAGAAAAUUGUAGAUCUCCACAAGAAGUCGGUAAGUCGCUAAAAAAUAAUACAAUAUUUCAGCAGCAUAUUCAUCGUGUAACACCUUCUUAGACCUUGUUACCUUUUUCUUAAUAUAUAUAAUGGUGCAGUUCUCCUGCGCAUUCUAAAAAUAUAUAUAUAUAUAUAUAUAUAUAUAUAUAUAUAUAUAUAUAUAUAUAUAUAUAUAUAUAUAUAUAUAUUUUGGGCGGAAUCAAACGAAUAUACAUUUUAUAUGAAAAGUGUAGAUUUUGAAAAGAUCUACGACUUUUUCGUUUUGAUUUUUUUUACUUGAGCUUGUUAAGAUGCUACAAAAUAGUGGCACAUUCAGAUUUGAGGGUAUUUUGGACUUUUACAUCGCAGUAUAACACCAUUAUAAAUCUCACGGAAGUGGCAUGGAGGACAAAAAAAAUCAGACCGGUAGCACCUGUGACUGAUCAAUUUUUUUAAUGGCCUGUAUGAAAUGAAAUUGCAAACUUUAAUAGUGGUGCACAACGAAAACCCUCUAGAAAGAGGGAGUAAGAUGCAAACCUCCCAUCGCAAAGUCCUAAUAGCAGCGGUAAAAAGCGAUCCAUAGCAAAUGCUUCCAAAUGAAGUUGUCACAGCAUACUGAAGAGAUUUCAGAAGAGGUUUUGGGGGCAUUGUUGCAGCAGCUGGACCACCAUGAAUGAGAACGAGGAAAACCAUCCCUGAGACAAUGACAUGGACUGUAUUGCUAAGAACAGCUCCAGUCCAAAAUAAACUGACUGAAAAAAUCUGCAAAUACAAGGGAUGUUAUUUAAAAAACAUCUGAAUAAUAAAGGCACUAAAUAUUCAUAUAGAAGUAUGGUAAAAACUUGCCAGCUCACCAAAAGAAGCCACCAUUGCCCACCAUUUGGUAUGCCAAAGGCAACAAUGCCAGAAAUUCCAAAGGACCAUAAUGCCAUCCAACAAAGCAUGACUAGCACAAAUGCAUAAGCAAUUCUCAUAACAUCAGGAAGUUCCCGUACCAUUCUUACUGCCUUCUGCAGUACUAGCAUUGUGAAGGGAAACCUAGCAAAAAGAAACACAGUAACUUCAAUGCAAAACAAAGAAGCAUACAAUGCUCAAACAGAGGUAGAUAUUGCCCAUGUAGGUAUAAAGGUACUGUUUCCAUGUGAUUUAGCAUGCAAUUUGAAUUCUAAAAGUUCCAGAAUAAACAGGUUGGGGCUCCACAUUACAAAUUAAAGAGGCACAAUUAUUGGAUUAUUGCAGUGUGCCUUUGGGCACAACAUUCAGCAAAUAUACAGGCUAGACAAGUGUGGCUAACAACCAGAGAAACCAAUGAAUAAAUGUUUGAAGAUAGCAUGGAUACAAAAUGAAGAAGAAUAGGCUCGGCUAGAUGAAGAUAAUAUACUUUGCUCCUAAGAGCUAUUUACACUGCUGCAACUGACUGUCACAGGCAUGGGUCACGCACAUGUGCCCUGUUGGAGUGUUGGUGAUAGACCUACCAUCCAGGUUCGACUCUCAGUGGGAGCAAAUUUUAGGUUGUGGAUAAAAAUCCCUUUCCUAGUCUCACGCCCUAAAGCAUAUACGGGGCCGCUUUGUAUGUGCGGGUUAGGGAUUCGAGAAUUUCUCGACCUACAUGAGAAGAUCUUAGCAAAAAAAAAAACUCUGAGGUUGUCUUACCCUUGAAGGUUGAGUUUUUUUAUAUAUAGGCCUGCCAUACAUGACUUUCUUUAACUGGAAAUCCAGCAGAGAAUUGCUCAUUUUUUUAGAAAAAGCAAAUCAGGUGAGGUCAUAAGGUUUCAGGAAUAGAUACUAUGGCUCCACCUCCAUUUCAUAUAACGUUUUUUUUCAAAAGCAAUCUACUAGGGAGCACAAGGAGCAUGACCACUGAUCACAUAUUACUGAUAGGCCACAACAUCAGACUUCCUACGACACAUAAUAGUGACUAUUUGCUGAGUGGCAAAACAGAUACAAUGUACCAAAUGUCCAGUUUUAGAACAUUGUUUGUCAAAUUCUACCAGUUACUACAUCUGUAGCACUAACUGUUCAGUAGUCUGCCAUUAAAAUGCAUCUGACAGUGCACCGUGGACACCAGUAGUCUAAACCAGAUUACAAAAAAAAACAUAACAAAUUAUAGCUUAAAGUGCACUUAUCAGUUCCCAACUUCAAACAACUGGUUGAUUUAUCUCAAAGAUGUGAUCACAAUAUGUAAAAAGUGGCACAAAUCUAUGCUAACAUAUGUGACGCUUUGACUCACACGUUAAAAAAACCAUAUCAAUCAAGGAAGCAAAGAAGAUUAGCGUUAUGGCACACGAGUGCAACCACAGCUAUGCAACACGUGCAGACAACUCUCUGAAAGGAGCCUUGAUAGAGACAUGAAUCAACCUCCUAGCGGGAUCUUCAUGCAGUUAUAUGUGAGAUUGUGCAUAUUUGCAUUCAGCUGCAAAUGGAUAUUGUUCGAAUUUGCAUCUUAAUCGCAGAAAUUCGCUGGCCUUCUCGGUGUCGGCAUCAGACCAACAUUCACUAGAGUCCAAGUUCGUCUGAAAUGAGAUGGAGUAGGCAAUCUUUACAGACAAAUUGAGAACACAGUGUUGUCCUGAGCUGUACCUAUCGAGCACAGACAUGACGUAGAGGAAGUGCAGGCCGGCGCCGACGGCCAGAGCGACGCCCCAGAAGAAGUGCUUCCCCCAGAAGCACAGGACGCUGACGACCGCGAGGUACGCCGUGAGGCAGUGCACGGCGGUCCGCAUGACCACCUUGCCGCCAUCCUUCCUCCAGGCCGCCGCCGCCAGCCACGCGCACGCGAGCGCGGCCCCGACAGCCCCCGCGGCGCCGUAGUACUUCCAGUACGUCUCGGUGAGCUCGGACGGCGGCACGGAGGGGUCCUCGGAGCGGUAGACGGAGGGCGGCGGCGGCGCGGGCGCGGGGUCCGGCGGGCCUGCGGGGGUGCCCCAGGGCUCCGCGGUGAGGUUGGCGUAGCGGCCGAUGUUGAAGCGGUCGGCCUGGUGGAAGCGGUUGAGGCCGAAGAGCGCGAGCGCGGCGCCGAAGACGAGCAGGUGGAGGAGGAAGACCACCAGCCAGAACACGUCCCGGCACUGCCGCCUGGGCCACGCCGCGGGGCCCGCCGCCGCCGCCGCCACCGACACGGCCCCCGCCGCUGCGGGGGGGCUAGGGUUCCCGCUGCCGUGGCAGGAGGAGGUGGAGGAAGAGGACAUGGCUGCGAUUGGCGGUUGGGGAGGUAGGAUCGGGCGGUAUGAGGAAUGGGGAGGAUUAACGAGACACGUCCUAGAGCAAUUAGCGAUGCGGGGAGUAGUGGCAACUGGCUAACUGCUCGGCGCUGGUGGUGGACUGGUGGUGGUGGUGACUGGUGCGACUAGGGGGAGUAACCGUUUCGGUCAUCGGGGAGACGAUGACCUGCGCGAGCGAACUGCCGGGUGACUGACGGCGACGUCGCGCGGAAUUCCAGGGGAGCAAGGGAAGCCGGAAGCGGACGCGGUUUGGACUUUCGGAGGAGCGACUGAGGGAGGCGGCUGGCAACGCGAGUACGCGACGAAUGGGAAGCCCAACCAAGUUGCAGAAACAGCCACGGAGAGGGUUCGGGGUUUUCGUGUUGGGGCGGAGCGCGACCGGCGUCCGGCGUCCGGCUGGGGCCUGGGAGCGCCGUGGGCACUUUGGACGCGAGGAUAGCUGCUUGGAUAUGACGGAAAUGCCGAGUGGUUGCUUCGGCGCUGGCGAUUUGCAUUUGCUGCGCUGGAUCCAGCGUUCCUCUUCCAACGGCAACGCAAAUAUGAUGAUGACGGGCGUUUUCCCUGCCGGUUCACCUGCACGCUGCACUGCACGGCUGUAGUAGCAGCACACGAGAUGUGCGUGUGAAUGUGUGAUUAUUGCACUCCAGCUUCGUGACAUCUCAUCUCAUGCCCCUUCAAUCAAAGCCAACGCCUAAAAAAUGACGAUGUCUGAAGCUGAAAUGUCAUCAAGGGAGCCAACGAAUGUUUUUAAGGCAAAGUUUUGUUUACCCUACUUUAAUGUUCUUCCGUGGCACGUGACAUACCUCUCAAUAACAAAGCAGCUGUGAUAACUCUGUCCACCAUGAAAUCUGCAAGUUCAAUCUUUUCGAAAGUACUCGUACAAGUAAUUUGUGGAUAUAGUCCGUCUUAUUGAUUAACCACAUCAUCUUGUCAUAUAUUGACUUUAUUUGAGCGUUUUUUUUUGGUUGUUUAUAUAUCAAAAGCGUAGGGCGCACGAGUGAAUGUAAAACAAAUUAUUGUAAGAUUUUUAGUUGCAUUCGGUUAUAUGCUCAGAACUUCAGUUUCCAGCUGGCCAGGCUCAUGUACACGAUACAUUCAUAGGUGUGUUAUUGGAUAUGUAUGUCGAGAAUCAUGUGCACAUGAUAAAUAGUGUAUAAAUUAAAGUAUAAUUAUUUAUCUUAAAUUUACCGUUAUUCUGUUUAUUUUGCAAAUAACACCCUAAAAGCGUGAUAAUCUGCACUGCUUAUCGCAGGUCCAUCCACAAAUCUCUCCAGGGACCAGGGGAACGGUUGUCCCGAAUCGCCGGCCAUGAAGUGCCGCUCUGAUGCACCAGGCGGUGGUGACGGCCACCGGGACCGGGCCCCAGCCCCCGUUGCCACAGGCGUCGGCGGCUCGCCCCCGGGCGAGCGGAGUAAGAAGCAGCGGACGGAGGAGCCGUCCUCAAGCUCCAGCGUGGUUGGCGAGUGCUCGUCUUCGUCCUCGCAGGCUCUGCCGCCACCGCUGCCGGAGCAGUUGCUGCAGGACGCAGGAGUGGGCGAGCAGCCGCCUCCAGGCCCCGAGCCCGCAGGGGGCGAGCAGGCGAGGGUGCCGGAUCUCGGGGAGGACCUGGUGUUCGAGGUGCUGAUGCGAGCGGAGGCCCGGACACUGGCGGCCGCGGCGUGCGUGAGCCGCGGGUGGCGGCUGCUGGCGAGGGACGAGCGGUUGUGGGAGGCGGCGUGCGUGCGGGAGUGGGCCUGCACUGGAUUCUCCGAGCAGAUGCUUCGCAGUGUCGUGCUUCCGCUUGGCGGCUUCCGGCGCCUACACGAGAUGUACAUCCGUCCGGUCCAGCGGCGUGCUGCUGGAGCGCCGCGCGGGCAGCAGAGGCGGCAGUUGCCGGUGAGGAUGGGCCGGGAUCAGGUCCAAGUCUCACUGUCUUUGCUCUCGACCUCAUUCUUCCUGAAGAUGCCUAAUGCUCCUCCACCUCCUCCUAAGGACAAGGAUAAAGAUGGAGAUAAGAAUGGAGGUGGCCAGUGUGGGUGAUCACUGAUCAAGUUUGUGAAAAAUAGGAGCUUACCUCUCAUGCAGCAUCACCACAGCUGCUUAUGUUAUGUAGGUGAUUAUGUUGUGGUUCUUCACUGUAUUUGUGGCAGUAAAGAGGUGAUCAAGUCAUUUGGAUUGGUGGGCAGAGAAGACUAUUCAGAUAGGUGCGGAUGUACUGAUCGGGAGGCAAAUAAGGUGAGCGAGAUUGGAUGGAAUUCAUUGCAAUAGCGUAUUGGAUGACUACCAAGUCUGUGUGUUGUACCUAAAUUACACACGAAAUGGGCUCAUCUGUAAAGUUUCCAUGCCAUAUAUGUGAAUAUGCGAGGUGCCAAGAGAGAUGCAGCAUGCUCUUUGUGCUGUUGUGCCAUGGGAAUAAGGGUGAGCCUCUUAGGGCUUCAUCAUGCUCUUUGUGCUGUUGUGCCAUGAGAGUAAGUGUGAGUCUCUUAGGGCUUGUUUAGUUGUAUGGGGAUUAAAGGGGAUUGAGGGACAUACAAUUCCUUGCUAGUUAAUUUUGGAGGGGGAUUGAGAGGCAUACAAUUCCUUAUUGUUCUGUUUGAAAUCCUUCUCUUACACGUGGGAAGGAUUGGACUUAGGGUCUGUUUGCAAGCUCACAUUUUUUAAGAAAUUGGUUUAUAGAAACUAGAGUGGUUUCAAAUAUACUACUUUAUGUCCUAGUUUAUAUAAACUGGAGUCUUUGUUUCUUAAAAACCAAGAAGCUACUCUCUCCUAGCUAAAACCAGCUUUUAUUUGUUUAAUUACAUCAUGCUCUUAUUGGUUUCGUGGAAUUUACAUCUAUUGCCACCGUUUUUUAAAAUAAAGGAAGGGUAUAUUAAUAAUUGCGUAUCAAAAAGCUAAAAACUGGUUUGUUAAAAAUUGAGUUCCAAACACCUCAACCCAACUUUAUUUUUCAUAAAUCAGUUUCUACAAAUUGUUUUUUUUUAAAAAAAAACUGAUGUGCUUCCAAACAGACUCUUAGCUAUUUAAUCUUAUAAUAUAUCUUAGACCCUGUUUGGCAGCAACUUAACUUUUAAGAAUCCAGUUUAUAUCUCCAAUUUCCAGAAAUUGGUUUAUAAAAAAAAACUAACCGAUGGUGUUUGGAACCACCUCAAUUUUAAUAAACUAGUUUUAGUUAGAGAUGAUAGCUUCUUGUUUUUUAAGAAACUAGGAAUAUAUAUUCUAUAAACUAGGACAUAAACUGAUAUGUUUGAAACCAUCUCAAUUCUUAUAAACCAGUUUUCUUAAAAACUGGGGUCUUCUAAAUAGGCCCUUAAUAAAUAUCAAGAAUAGGUGAGAUGUUGACUUGUGUUACUAAAAUUCAGUUUAGUUCUAUGUUUACUACGUGCUAUUCGUAGGUCUGUUAAGCAAAUCUGAUGCAACUGUUGUAUACUGAUUGAUAAUGUUUAAUUGGCAGAAAUAUGGAUUCCUCAAAUUGAAAAUUCAAAUUCAAUGAGGUCGUCAUGCAUGUAUGACACAGUUGUCUGUGGAUUCAUGUGAUUCAUUUCAGGUGAAUGUGCCGUGUGCUCUGGAUUCUUGUUUGGUCGAUAUGUUGUUGGUAACUGGAGAGUCCAAAUGUGUUGUCUGCUCUCUGCUGGGUGGCGUCGGGCUAGAAUUGGUUGAGGGAACCUUGGUUGCUGGAAGCUCGACGCAAUCACGCUAUCCAGCUCCUAACCAGCGUGUUAUUAUACCUUCGAUUAAAAAACAAAAGCAGGAACAAUGAUCAAUCAUUUAAGAGAAGCAUUUAAGUUUUACAUAAAUUGCAAUGCAAAUUUUACAUUGCUUUUUUCGAUAAAGGAAGCUUUAUAUUAAAGGUUACCAAGAGCGAUACAUCGAGAGGAUACAUAGUCUUGGUACACAAACUCCCGGCCUCUGCCUAAUGCACAUAGCCAACCUAAAAAAAACAUAAACACAGCAGCUUCCCCAAACUAGUGACAGUCAAUCCGAAGACUAGAUCGCCACCCAUACACCCAGGAAAAAAGACCGUGGCCGUUCGCACCAAGAGUCGCGAACCCUCCACAACCAACGGUCGCAGCUCCUCUCGCUGAUAGCUUCUGUGACACCAAAUGGAUAACCUGACUGAAAUGGCCCAAUCGGAAGAGAUGAAGUGGACACCGUGCGUAGCGCUUGACCAGCCGGCUUGAAUCCACUCAAAUCGCCAUCAAGAUUGCGACGAGAAGCCCUCUUCAUAGCGUUCAAAGUAGAAUCCUCAUCUUUCACCGGAGGCAUCAGAUUCUUCUCCGGUGGGAUGGGCAAUUUUACUUGCCCCGCCCCAAUAUGCAAACUGCAUUCAAUCUUCCUUACAUCAUCCAUCGGCUGGCCCUCUCUUUCAAAUGCAGAACUCCUCUGUCCCUGGAAUGCAGGCAUGGACCAGCAACAUGCCGCUGGCAUAUUCAUGGCCGUGUGUGCCGAAGUAAGCACAACAGACGGACCAACCCCCUUCUUGUUACUCACUAACUGCUCAUCAGGAAUAUUCUUGGGCCAGCUGCUUGCCUCAGGCACAAUCCUGGUCGUGUGGGCAGAGUUAAUCACACCAGUCGGGCCAGCCCCUUUCAUGUUACUCACAAACUGCUCAUCAAGAAUACUCUGUAGCAUUAAGUUGCAGCCAUUAGUAUCAUCUGACCCAGCAACAGAGCUCCUUUUGCCACCAGAAAGAAACCCAGCAGCAGAUGACAUUCCAAUCUUAUGCAGCUUCAGAUCUGCCCCAGUUCGGCCAUGCAAAGAGGGACGUACAGAAUGCAGGGUAGACAUGUUGAGCAAAGGAAAACCCUUCAUCACAGCAGGCACAGGUUCAUUAGCCUUCUCCAAGGGUGAAAUGGCAGCAGCCCCAAGCAUUGGAGUAUCUUCCCCAUCACCAAAACCCCCUGCCAUAGAACCAGCUCCACCCCCCUUCCCAUCUAAUUUAUGUUUUUUGGAAGCAUGUUCUGGACUUUUAUCCUCUUGUUCAGAAUCCUUGUCCAUACCACCCCCACCAUCAUUACGAGACUCCUCCCUAAAAAUCACUGGAGAUGCAGGAAUGAAGUUCUUAUCCUCUAUAGAAUAGGUGAUCUCGUAUCCCUUCUUGUCAAAAACAAUAUCGGUGGUCAGGGGUAGUGGAUCUCUGCUCAUCACACCAACAAGCAGUCUGAUGACGCCCAUCUUUCUAUAGGUGUACAUGUCUACAUCAAGAGUGGCGCCGAUUACCGAUCUUAGGGCCCAAAAACCCAAAUAAUGCCUCCAAGCGUGAGGUACUCCCCUCACAUGAACCCAAACCUCGUCCAAUUGAUAAUUGGGUUCAACAUCAUUAGCAUCCUUCCAUUCAGAGAUGGUGAGAGUAACUCCAUGAUUUUUGAGAGUGAACUCCACAUCAGCCAUCCUAAUCAGUUCAUCAACUGAGGGAAAUACCACCAAGAAGGAAUCAUCACUAUGGGGUAGCGCCUCCCAAGCCCAUUCUUUUGUAAUGAAUCGAGCUAGUUCAACUUGCACCGCCUCAGCCGAGAGCUUCCCCCCACUCACUUUGAUCAGAGCAGUCGGGGCAAGGUCAGGUGUUUCUAGCCUGUAGUCAAAAUCCGGAAUGCGAAAGAAGCCUAACUCGUUAUUACCAAAGCCAAAGAAGGAGGCAUCGGGCUUAGGCAAUUUCAGUAGGGGGCACUUGGCUACCACAUCUGAAUUCUUCUUGUUACACACCACACAAUCUAAAUCUGCCUUGCACUCAUCAUUUAAAUGGCCACUCAACUUGCAUCGGAAGCACACACCACGCAAUCUAAAUCUGCCUUGCACUCAUCAUUUAAAUGGCCACUCAACUUGCAUCGGAAGCAUAGAGGUAGGGCUGACAAUGGGCUAUAAUUUUUGCACUAUAAGAUUUAAGGAUCGAAGCGGGUUAGGAUCGGACUUUAUUUCUAGUCAUUUUUGAACUAUAAUUUAUUUAGGGCCUUGACAUUUUGUGAAGAACUAUUUGGAUCACGAUCCAUUACCACCCCUACAUAGAGGAGCCUUUAUUUUCUUUGCUUUUCACAGAGUUACCUGGGGGAGCCGCUGCCGACUGCCUACGCUUGUCUCAAACAAAGAAUGCUAAACAACUACCCAAGGUUUUCCACGACCACGAGCCUGCAGUCUCAGGUCCAUCUCAGGCUUGAUUAGCCAAACACCAUUUGUUAAUAGCGGAUGCUUCUGUAGUGGAAGCCUGGAGAGUGGCUUCUAACAUAUGCUAUAUAAGUGUUUGUUGAUACGAAAUAAGAAUUGAUCAUCAACGAAGCCCGUUAGGGGAUAAACAGUGAGGUUACUGUCAGCACUUAGCAAAACUGUAACGCACCAUAUCAGCUAAUAUGAAUCUGAUGCUGAUGCCCCUCAGCAAGUAGACUUGGCUUGUACUCCUACUUUUUUAAAAAAUGAAGACAUCCAAAAGAGUGUCUCGCAGUUGAUUUACCUUAAGGAAAACAAAGGACAGUAUAAAAGUGGAUAAUAAGACAUAAAACAACCAUUAAAAAUAAGUAGGAGUACUUUUCGAGAGAGAAAAUAAGUAGGAGUACAAUAAAGACCAAAUUGAUAAUAUUCUUCUUUCAAUCGUCCAAUUUGUACUCCUACUUAAUAAUGAGAUAUAGUAAUAGUAACGUGUUCGCAAAUAACUGUCAGCUGCUCAUCCGAAAGACAAACGCAUUUGGUCUUGACUCCUGAGUUCGACUAAUUUCUCUGAUAGACACCAAACCCUUAGCUACGCUUUGUGACGCCCACCUAUCAGUUGGAGGAUGCAAUGCCAUGCUCUAUCUUUUAUAGUAUGAGCCAAAUGCAUGAUGCUUGAACACACCAGACCUCCUCUUCUCCAGCUCUGUCCGCAAUCUCUGUGCUUCCAUUUUUAUGUUGAUAAAAUCACUCUCUAUGGCCUGACUCUCCUCAAGAAGCUCAACUUUUGCACGUUUCUCAUGCUCGUAUGCCAUCCUGGAAACGAAUUUUAGCCAUGUGGAGCAUUAUUAGUAGUUUGAUACCUACAAACCUUGGUACAUUUAGAAAGACAAACAAAGCAAAAAUUAUUGGUAUUUUUAACUCUUAAAAACGUGCAUGCUUAAGUAAUAUAUAUGGAGACAUUUUCAAAAAAAAAUAUCUGUAACGAAAGCAUAACAUUAUGGAGACAUUUUCCACAUCAAUGCACCUGCAUAAGAUCACAAAACACAAACCUGGCCCUCGAAAUCUCCGCUUGUAUAUCAUGCAACCCUUCUCUUGUAGCAGGUAUCUGCUUGUUCUCGAUCUGCUCCAGCUCCCUGUACAAUGACUGAACCUUCACAGAUAGCUCUUUGCACAAAGCUUCCAACUCCAUCUUUUCAGAACUUAGGACCAACACUUCUUCCUUGAUAAGUUUAAGAGCAUGCAUCUGUUCCUCUAACUUCAUGCCUCCCUGGAUAAUAUCCCUGUAUUCCAUUUCAUUAUCAACACGAAGUCUGGGAAUGGUUUGUUUGGCAAGUAUAUGGAUCUCGUCUUCAAUGACAGCUAAUUCUUGCCUAAGGCCCAGAAUAUCCUCUAGCACAAGAGUAUUAUCAGCAGCAAUUCUACGAAUCUCUUCACAACCAACUGCAAGUUCCUCCUGAAAAGGGACCAGAGGCAUGGGUCCAGGAACUCCUCCAUCUAAUGAAUUUGAAGGGGAAUUUCUAUGGCCAUUAUUGCUCCAAGGUUGCCGAGCCAUGUGGUUUUCUGAUGGUGCCUGCAAUGGUGUGAAAGAAGAGGACCCACAGCAUAUGAAUGGAUGGAUAUGCUUGAAUAACAUGGGAUAAAAAAUAAAACUAUCUUGAAUAGUUGAAAUGACAUAAGUAUGUGACUGUGGAUCUGGAUAUCAAAACAACGUAUCAUUUCCAAACACGCAUGACUUCAUUUCAGUACACAAAACAGCAUGAUACGACAUAGUACAAACACACCUAAGGUAAAAAGAAGUUCUGGUAUUUCAUCAAACAAUAAUUUAAAGGAUUGGCUCAUUUAGCUGUUUGCCACCAUAAAACAAUCUUUGUAAUUUUAUAACUUCUUCACCUUUUAUUAAAUAGCUCUACUGGUUUUUUCUUGUCCAAUACCAGGGCUGCAGCCCCGGCAGCCUGGGUCCUAGAUCCGCUACUGCUGGGCUGAUGUUCUCAUUGUUCUCUUAUUUUGCUCUGGGUUGCUUUGUGUCCAUCCUUGUGUAAUCACAUACUGUAACUACUGCCAACACAUUGUUUAGAUGGGCACAGUGGGCUUGUUCUCUCUGCUUCCUUCCUUCUAAAUAAAACAUGUGCCCAUGCACGUUCUUAAAAAAGGUGCAGAAUUAUAUAUUGGUUGCACUUGCAACUCAUGUGGCUUGGUGACUACUAAAUAGAAAUUCCACAAUCAUUGAAGGAUUGCACACAAAAAAAAAACUACAUCUCACAAUCUAAAUCAUUAAAACCUACCGCAGAGUAAAAGUUCCACAAUCUUUAAAAGAUUGUGCAGAAAAGGUUACAAAAUUAGUGUGUGAUUAUCUAAAUCACAAGUCAUGUGGUUUGGUGGUUGGAUAGUACAAAUUGCACAACCGUAAAAAUGUUUGCACAAAAAAGAGAAAGCAACUACACUUCACAUCUAAAUUAAAUCAGCAGAUGUUAUCAGAUAUCAAGCUAUCCAAUCAUGAUGUCCAAAUCCAAUAGAGUGAACAGGUUCCUAUGAAUCAUUAAACUUUUGAGGAGCACAUUAGCAUCCUCCGUCAGGGAGCCAGUGUUUCAAAAGUGGCCACAUAAUCUGCAUGGGCAUCUUGCACUCAAUGUCACCCUCUCACAUUAUAGAUGAGCGUGCCAAACCCUCAAGAAGGCAAAAAUAGGUUUGCAGGCAUCUUAUGAAUGAUCACACGAUGUACCUCCUGGAAUAAGGCAAACAAUUCGUUUACAGGUAAUGCAGUCCCUCAAAUUAGACAUUUAUUUAUUAACCUGUAAAAAAUCUGAGGGACCGGGCUGACUCAAAGUGCAUAAAUGGGUGUAGCUUCAUCUUGAAAUCAUUAGAUCUUUGCAAGUAUUACUCCAAAAAAUCCAGAAGGGUGUUAACAAGACAAAAAAAUAACAAGGAUAUUAAACACCAAUAUCAAUCAGAAACCCACUUCAAGUUUACAUGCACAUACACACCCACACCCACACGGCCACACAUGACACCACAGAAAUUUGAGAUGCAGCACGAAGUGACCAUAAUUCGUAGAAAUCACCAAAAAAAUACCCCCUAGGUCAGGGAAUAAUGUUUCUUUGUCGAGGAAAUGGUUUACUUGUUGUUAGAACCAGCAUGAGCACCCAAAAAUUUAACCCUAUAUCCACGAUAAUAGCAACGAAAUAAAGAACUGACUAAGGUAUCCAGCAACCAGGUUCCUGCUAAACUACUCCACAAACAGAGUCGGCUAAUCAUAAAACAUGUCAUUCGAAGUUUCGAACCAAUUUCUCGACCAAACAGUGAAUACUGUUGCUCACGGUUCGACGCGCAUGCUAACAAAACAAUCAGAUAGCAGUAGCACACGACGAAAACAAGUUUGGCAGAGAUAACCGAUGUAGUUACUUGUUUGAUCAUUCCAGGCGAGGGUUCCAAGUUGUUGCCCGUACAUCUACGAAACACACGACACUAGAGCAGUUCACCAAAAAUCGAUGGUGGUCUGCAGGAGAUACAGACCUGCUGGAUGCCACCGCGUCCUCGUUGUGGCCCGCACUACGCUACACCAGCCAGCAAGGCGCCCACCCCCCGCGCCGUGUCGCUGCCGAACUGCUCGCGGAGGCCGCCGCACCCCGUCCCCGAGCCAAACCACCGCCAGCUGUGAGCUGUCGCCUGUCGAUCCGUUACCGAAGCGGUGAAGGUGUCGCCUGCUCCUCGACUCCGUCCAGUACUCCAGUGUGAUUGUCUUGUGGGGUGAACAUAACUCGGGCCCGGCUGCGCCGGAGAGUAUCACAUCUACGGAUGGCAAUGAAGUCCCUAUCCUUAGAGCAUCUCCAAAAGCUCCCCAGAAGUUUCCCCUAAAUCUAUUUUUUGGGGAAAAACACAAAAACAUGUCUCCAACAGUUCCCCUAAAGCGCCCCAACUUUUUCAUAGCCCUUAAAACUCCCUCAUUUGUAGCUACAAAUGAGGGGUUUUUUGGGCUCCCCAGAAACAAACUGCUGCUUUAAGGGAUCUGUUGGAGAAAGGAUUAAAAUUUACCCCCACUUAUUAUUUAGAUGUCCCUUAAAACUGAUUUUGAGGAGUCGUUUUAUGGAGAGCUCUUGGAGAUGCUCUUAUUACCACCCUGCAUUAGGGCUAGUUUGAGAGAGAUAAAAUCGAAAGAGAUUAGAAGAGCUAGAAUUCCUUUCUCAUUUAAUCCCUCUAACUUCCUCUAAUUUUGUGCCUCCUAAACUAGCUUUUAGAAUUAGUUUGGAAGCUAUAAAAUUGCCCUUCUUAUUCAGUUUUGAAUAAAAAUGGAAAUUUAGCCACUCUAAUCUCCUUUGGUUUUCUCGCUCUCAAACUAUUCCUUAGAGGAUGAGGACGGAAAAGGUUCUCUCCCACGGGAUGUAAACGAGAAAAAGAUUCUCUCCCGAUAGGUAAACAAGGAUGAGUUCGUUUCUCACGAUGACCCAUUAAACUUAUAUAUGAUAAUAUUUUUUAUUUAAUAUUUAACGAUAAAAAUAAAUAAUUACCUUGUAAAUAUAUCACUCGUUGUAAAAAUGUAUUCAUUUUAGUGUACAUAUAAUAGUUUCUUACAUCUAACGAUGUGUAUAAGUGACAAUAUUUUACAUUAAUAAUAAAAAAAUAUGUCAUAAUUUAAGCGGGGAUAGGGAUCCUGACGAGAAUUUAUUCCCGUGGAGAACAGGGAUAUGUAAGAAAUACCCCGCAAGAGUUUAUGAGGAUCCUGUGAAAAACUUUUUUCAUCGCGGGACGGGAACUGAGGAGUUAAAACUCGAUGAAAAAUUUCUUGUUGCCAUCCCUAAUCACAUCUUUCCCAAUAUAUAGUCAAUUAAAGAUAUUUAGGAGAUAACUAAAUAAAAAGAGACAUUCUUUACAAAGAGCUCUCUACACGCUACAUAUAUUUAGGACCGAUACUGAUAUUUUAGGGCUUGAGAAAAAUUAAUAAGAAGGCAUCUAUAUAUGUGUAAUAUAUUUUUUAUAUGUAAAAUCUUAUGAACAUAUGAUUAAAGAAAUUAUUAUUUGAUGCACAAAAAUAACUUCUAUCAAGCACUAUCAAAUUUUUAGAUAUUACAUUGAUUAGUUUCCUAACCUCAUAUAUAUGGUACACAAUAUACUUAGUGCAUAUUUAAUACUUAGGAUCGAUACUCAUACCUUGGGGGGGGGGGCAGCGCAAUCUGUGCGGGCCACGUCAGCCUGGCCAACGAUCACCGUCAGCCUAGCCAACGAUCACCAGGCUGCACCUGACUGUCCAGUGCGCCACCAAACUAUCCGGUGUGCCAAAUGACCAACGAUCGACUUCGUCAAGAAUGGAAACAAAUCACCUGAUGUGCAGUGUCCGGUAUGCACCGGACAGUCUGGUGCACCCGCAGACAGAAGGCAACCAGGGCCUUCCAAACGAAGAUCAAACGACUCCUUGGUCUUUUUGGGCUAUAAAAGCACCCUCUAGGUGCAUGGAGCUGUUACCCAAGCACUCUUUGAGCACACAACUCUGAAUCUUUGCGACAACGCUAUUGUUUUGCUAGAGAGACUUGAGCACUAGGGUGGGCAAAAAAUCUGUAACCCGAAACCCGAACCCGAAAUACCCGAAACCCCAAUUUUGUUUGGGAAUUUCGGGUAGCAACUUGCAAAACCUGAAUUUAUUUCGGGUAAUUCGAGUAUCACAAUCGGGUACCCGAAUUACCCGAACUUUUAUGUGUCAUUUACUCAUGUCAUGCUUAAUUAUUAAUCUGUACACCUAUAAUUAUGUGUAAGUAUGCAUAACUUGUGAUUGUGGAUUGCUUGUGUUUUAAAUGUCCAUGUAUAUCAUUAUUCAAACUGUAUUUUUAUACUAACUAGGUGAGUGCCCGUGCGUUGCAACGGAAACAUAUAAUAUUAUAAUAACUUAUGUACAAAUGUGUGUUAUACUGUUAUGAGAAAAUAUUUCGUAAUUUAUUUGUGAACCUAGCCAUACAUAAAUUUCUGGACAUCUUUACAUCUAGAAAAAGCAUGAUCUUCUGGACUUCAACAAGGUGAGAGACAGGCACCUGAACCAUGUAGUACUUAUUUGCUUGUGCUUUGUCCUCGUAUUUUUCUUCAGGAAAUCAGCAAGUUAAUACACAAUGAGCUACAUAAAGUAACACUUGGCACAUGAAGGUAGGCGGCAAUUACUUGUGCAAAGAUUCAAUGGUGCUUCAGAAGAACAUAGAAAGACAAGGAUAGAAAAAAUAUAGACCCCAUUUAAUCAAAACAAAAGUACUGUAGUCCUUACAAUUACCCCGCAUAAUAUAAAAUAUGAUUAUUGGAGUACAAACUUGUACAUACAUAUUAAUGGCAUACAUGAACAACAAAAAUAGCUCACCUCACAUGCGACUGAGAUUUCACGACAACAAUCCCUUGAAAUAACCUGAUAGAAUAACAACACAAUCAGGAACUUACAUGGUAAUGAUCUUUCUAAUACAGUAUAUGAUCUGGUCUUAUGAUUGUACUAGGUUUGAAGUGGCAAUGAACAACAGACAACAUGUAAUGGGUAUUAUGUCCUCCAUCUCCUACUAGAUAGAUAACAUUUUUAUUACUGCAGUCCAUAGUAUAGUUUAUGUUUUCUCAGACCGGCAAGAUACCUGAUAUGAGAUUUAAACAAUUAUUUUUAAAAAAUGAUACAUUAUUAAAAAAAUACACAGUAUAGUCCAAUCACAUAUUAUAAAGGGCAAUAACAAUAAUAGCAUAUUGCAUGGCGUGCAAGUACGAUGAAGUUAAAUGGAAAUCCAUAACAUAAGAAUUCCUCCAUAGUUCAUCUCACUCCUUUCCAUCAAGGUCAAAUGACAACAGAUAAAACCAAAUGGUUGUGUGGUGCAAACUUAUGGACCCUAUAAAAAUGAGAGCAUACUCAAUAGCCUAUAUUGUUGUAACAACAAAUAAACAUCCACACCCAAGGAGAUCAAUCUAAGAAUAUCAAAACUUGUCAUCGCUUGAACUAUAUAACUCAAUUUUAACAUCAUUUAGGAGUAAUGAGUUCUCAGCUAAAAUGGAUCAGCUUGCAUCGGUAGUCUCCAAAUUCAAGGAUUCACAUAAUUUAAAUUUAGGUUGCAAUAAAUUACAUUAGAACAAAACCCGUGGGGCUGUUGCUCCAUCCUUCCACGACCACCGGCGCUGCUCUGCCUCGCCGUACCGCUUUCCCGAUGAGGCGUCUCCGCGGUGUCCUGGAUCGCUCACAUGGGGGUGGCGAUGAAACUGCUUGCACGAGUGAGUUGAGACCUCAACGUUUUGCCCCCCCAAAAAGGAGAACAGAACGGAGGACUUGUUGCAUUCGUAUUUCUUUUUGUGCUUGUUCACAGUCCUGCGGGUUUUGUUCUCUUGCUUACUGUGGACAGAGGCGUGCUGUGGUGUUCUGGAACACGUUGGAGAAGGAACAAGCUGCGCACGAGUGAAGGAGUGAGUACACGCACCUCAGGCUUGCAGGUCUUGCAAAGCGCGCUGAGGGAGUUGGCGAGCGCGGAGGCGUCCUCCUCCCCAGCACCGCGACCGCCGCAGCCGCCGCUCCCACUUUGCGGCGGCAGGACGUGUAGCAUAGUGAGGAAGUCGCCCCUGUUGGCGAUGUGGGUGAUGUUUUUUUGGCUAGGAUAUGGUCAAAAACAACAUGAAUUUCAUGGUUAGCCACAUCACUGUUGUCAUAUAGGGAUGAGGUACAUAUGGAGUUCUUUUGUGUGGGCAUGUGUUUAAUAAAAUAUCAUCUCUCUGGUAGUGUUUUCUUUUGGAGCUCAUUAAGAUAUUUCUUCUGCUCUUUGUGAGCCCAGGAAAAAACAAUUAAAUAUAGAGUAAAAUUCAAUGGAAAUGUCUGACCAGUGUGAGAAAUGUCAGCUCCUACUUUCUCUCUGGUAGUCUCAAGGCAUUUGUGUUAGAGGCUUCAGUUAGCAGUAGUGGCUAAGCAGUAGCAGUUUCAGUUAGUAGUGGAGCUAUCAUAUAAUUAAAAAAAGAUGGAUAGAACAACUGUUUUAGUGUUCUUGGAUCUAUUCGCAUAAUUCAGAUAAUGGAAAGAACCUGCAAAAAGAGGGCAUGAUCUAAGCAACCUUUGUCAAAUUCAAAUAAUGGAAAGGAAAGGAGGGGUUAUCUGUAAUUGCAUAAUUCAAUAACUGAGUGUGAUGCAUUCUAAUUCAAAAAAGGAGGGAUUAUGCACCAGAUUGAAAUGAGCUUGCUCAAAUGAAGACCUGGCACCGUGAAGCUCCUGAUUGAGCUAAAAGAUAAAAAGGGUUAUGAAGUCGUCGCCUUUAGAUUCAAGGAUCUGGGCAGUUUUCUUCCCUUCUAAUGCAAGGAUUUGGGCUUGUUUCUUCCCUUCAGAUUCAAGGACUUGGGCGCAUAUUAUCCUUUCUACUUCAGCCUGCAUCUCCAUAGCCUGCCUAAUCCCUGUUGAAGGAGUUAUGUCCCCUGCAUUGCCAAAAAAAAUUAAAAACAUUAUAAGCAAACCAUAUAUUAUAACUCGAAUUAUUAAACAUGAAAAAGCAACACAAUGAUCUCAUAGUGGAUACACUUCAUGCCCCAAUCUGUGGCUGCCAUUGAUGGCACUCUUUUUUUAUCUCUGCAGAUGUGUGUUCACAACCUGAAAGAAAACAUGUUCUGUAGUGACACAAACAUGCAAAGCAUAGAGUUUGAGAGAUUGAACCAUCAAGCAACAUAAUUGACACAUCCAAUUUAGUGUGUCCUAUUUGACAAUGCAUGAUGCUUUUAUAAUGUCUCCAUUUCCCUAUUCUUUAUGCCAUUUGGGAGUUGCUAUUUGUUAAUACAUACAAAACCAAUUACGACACUACCUACAUGUGUGUGCCAAGUUUCCUAAAUCAUGCAAAACCAAGAUAAAUCAGCUACAACUACUAUUGGUGCAGCCUUUCGACUGUGUUGUUACAUAUUUCUUGAAGCCAUCUAAUGUGGUAACCUUGAUAUACAUAGACUCUUACAGUAUGGCCAAAUAAACAUAAACUAAAGAGCUCAGAUGCUAGGCAACUAUAGAACACCAUCUAAACGAUGCCAUUAUGUGCAAGCACGCUAUGUGUGAAAUAGAUGGAGUAAUUUUCUUUAGCUUCUACUAAACUCUGUCAUGCUCUUGGAUCACUUUUAGUUUUAGAGAAGAGAGUACAAACCUGCCAUAUAGGGAUUGGGCCCAGAAAUCCCACCCACUCUCUUUUAGCCUAAUUGAACAGAGACUUGGUGAGUUCAAAAAAUCUUUGAGCCUCUUUCUUCUGCAUUUGGAUGUCAGAUAAGUUGAAACCCCAGUCAGAUACUUGCAGCACAACUUCCUUUACAAAUGGCCUUGCAUCUCCCUAGCGCACAUACCCUGUAACAUCUUAAUGGUAUAUGAAGAAUUAAUCAGAAGAUAGAAAAGAAAUGAAAAAUAUGAUACAUAAGAAGUAAUUGAGAACCAAGCAGUAAGCAUAUGCAGCUAGCAACCAUCUUAUAACUAACUGGCAGCAAGCUACUAAAGCAAAAAUAGUGUCCUUAUACUGUGAUCGUCUAGAAAUAUGAUAGGCAAGAAGUUAUAAACCCGGCCGUGAGGAGACGCUGCCGCUUGUCGGGCGCGGGCGAGGCCCCGGCCAUGAUAUAAUACCUUACUGGUUUCAAAAUGAUAUAAUACCUUACUGGUUUCAUAAAAUCUUCUGAUUCUUCUUCUUAUGGUGCCCCCUUCUACUGUAGACAUCCUUCUCAUCAUGUUGUAUUUUGAUUAUAGAAAACAAGUCAGCCACCAAAUAAGCACGAGAUAUAAUAUAAUACACAUUUUGAUUAACCAAAAGAGCAGACUAAACUCAUUUGUUUUAAUCAUUUAUGGACAUAAUUAAACUACAACAACCAAACAGAGCUUGGAACAAGUUCCUUGUGCAAAUUAAGCAAGUUAAUUGUUGAAUCAAAGUUCAAAAGGGAAGCAACAAUUGUUAAAUGAACAUCAAUAGAAAAUAAAUUGUUGAAAGAAAAGUGUGGAAACCUUGGCGAAGGUCCUUGGACGGCCUGUUGAAGUAUUUGUGGACGCCUACACUGUUCUCUUAAGGAGUAGUAGAGAUUUAAUAGGGUGUAUGUGUUUUUAUGAAGCCGACACAACAGUUCGGGUAGUUCGGAAAUACCCGAACCCGAAAUUCUGGGUACCCAAAAUUCUGGGUAUUGUAAAACCUGUUGUAAUUUCGGGUAUCGAAUCUCAAAACCCGAAAUUUUAAAUACUCGAAUUACCUGACCCAAAAUUUUUGGGUAACCCGAACACCCACACCUAUUGAGCACGUUCUUGAGCUGUAACCCUAUCGUUGUGUUUCAUGCGCUCUCUCUUUUCACUUGUGUGUGUUGUUGCUGUGUUGUGCUCUUGUGUGCGUUUCUACUCCCAUCCUUACUCUGAUUUUGUUUGUAAUCAAAUGUGUAAGGCGUGAGAGACUCCAAUUUGUGGAUAUUGCUCACAACGGGAUUUUGGUAUAAGGAAGGUAUCUAUGGCACUCAAGUUUUAUCUUUGGAUCACUUGAGAGGGGUUGAGUGCAACCCUUGACCAAAGGAGGCCACCAAAACUAGUCAAGACUACAAUAUUUGAUGUAAAGUAGAAGUUACACAUUGAUUUGUGUGGAUCUAAUCUCUACCUAAGAUUAGACUAUAAUUUCCUUCUACAUUGGCGACGAAGAAAGCAACAGCAAGGGUCCUGGUCCCGAUGAUUAAUUCAAUGGACAUGACUCCCUUGGCUUUAAUUGAAUUGUCGGCCCAACACCACUGAGCGUCAUGUUAGUCUUGACUAGUUCGUCAUCCUGCUUCCCUAAUUUUCUAUACAAUGAUUAAGACAUUAAAUUCAAGGUCGCCCCUCCAUCUACUAUCAUUUUAGCUAUCAGUAUUCCAUCGGUAUGACCAUGCACAAAGAGUAGCUUUAAGGGGUUGACCGAUUCUUUUAGCUUAGCGAAGGCGGCCUCUAUAUGACCAAAAUCGAAUUCAUCAACGACAGGUUCAUUGUCCCCCGAUAAUAGUGCAAUCAAUUGAGAACAUAAUCACAUUUACAUCCAUACCUAGGUGCUCUAGUGAGGCUCCAUAGUCAACCAAAUCCUCUCCUAGCAGGCCGUCUUCCUCGGUGUUAUCUUCCUCCAUAGGUGUUCGCGUGUCGUCAGAGGCAUUCUGGUGAGGCACAAACGAUUCGGACUCGAGGGUCGGAUGGUCUGGGGUGAACGUGGAUGGUCCACCUUUAACAGCUAGACUGUCCGCUGCACCUGCAAAGAACUGUGCAGUUGUUGUCUUGUUCUCUGUCUUUGUGGCCGUUUGAUUUGCUUCGAUGACCUUUGGUCUCCUCCUCUUUUGUGGUGGUGGGUACUAUGGAUGUGUAUCAUUAAAUAUUUUUUCUGCUUCUUUUUCCUUGAUC
rnacentral:lncRNA from 1 species